rnacentral:lncRNA from 1 species
ACACAUAGAUCCGUGGAUCCAUACAUCUCGAUCCGAAAAGAAUCAAUAGAAAAAGAAAAAAUCGGAAUUGAUCGAUCUCUUUCUCGAAACAAACGAAAAGGAAAGAAAAGACGAAACAUAAAUCAUGGAUCAACUAAGCCCUCUCGGGGACUUGCUUAAGAAUAAGAAAGAGCAAUCUCAUGUAAAUACCAUGGAAUAAGGUUUUAACCUAUUCAUGGGGAUUCCGUAAAUAUUCCAUUCAAAAAAAAAAAAAAUUGGUUUUUUUUUGGAGAUUGGAUGCAGUUACUAAUUCAUGAUCUGGCAUGUACAGAAUGAAAAUUUCAUUCUCGAUUCUACGAGAAUUUUUAUGAAAGCCUUUCAUUUGCUUUCCCCAUGAUAAGUUAAUAGAUUGUGUAUCACGCAUAUACCCUUAAUAAUUUUAUAUAUUAAUAAUUGAAUUCAUAUAUUAAUAUAUAAUUCGUCUCUAUUUUUAUAUAAAUAAAAGAAAAAUAACAUGUUGAUUAUAUCAAAAUUAUAGAACAAUUAACGAAUUUUAACUUAUCAUGGGGAAAGACACUAUUGCUGAUAUAAUAACCUCUAUACGAAAUGCUGACAUGAAUAGAAAAGGAACAGUUCGGAUAGGAUCGACUAACAUCACCGAAAGCAUUGUUAAAAUACUUUUACAAGAGGGUUUUAUCGAAAACGUAAGGAAACAUCGCGAAAACAAUCAAUAUUUUUUUAUUUUAACCCUAAGACAUAGACGAAAUAAGAAAGAAUCCUAUAAAACGAUUUUAAAUUUAAAGAGAAUAAGCCGACCGGGUCUACGAAUCUAUUCUAACUCUCAACGAAUUCCACGAAUUUUAGGCGGAAUAGGAAUUGUAAUCAUUUGUAUCUUCUUCUAUAUAUAUAUUUUCGGAUUAUUAUUUCAUUAUUAAAAUCGUAACUAUAUAUAUAUAUAGAUUAGUAAAAUAUUAUUUUAUUAUCAUAUUCAAAAAUAUUACACAUAUAAUUAUUUGUUUUAUUUACCGGAUCAGGGUGAAACAACCAUAGUCAGAGAAAGAUCUACAUCUCGACCCGCGCAAAGGUUUUUGUUUUCAUUUAUUUUUAUAUAAAUAUUUAUUAUAAUAAGUAUUUUGUUUUAUUUACCGGAUCAGUGUGAUGAAUAUGUGAUUUUCUAUUUAUAUAAUGUGCAAGAAGUUGAAAAUUAAAACUGCCGGUUUAAUGUUUCUUUACAAGUGAAAUGCUUCAAGGGGAUGUGUAAGAUGUGGAUCAUCACUUGAUCAUAUAUUAUAUAACGUGUAAGUGAAUAUAACAAAGGUUCUAAUGCAUUUUUUAAAUAACAAACAACUCAUAUUUACAAUUCUAGAACUAUACGUUAAUGUUUUAGUCUAAGGACUGUUUGUUAAUGAUUUAUAUUUACGGUUGAGCAAAAACGUUGAUGCAUUGGUUUGAUAAUGAUUUACAAUUACAAUAAUUAAGGAAGCAAAUGUUGGUUUGUAAACCAAACCGAAAUUGUAGAUGUGUAACAAAAUUUUAGGGAAUGAUAUAAUAAGCCAUAUUAGUAGUAAUAAAUGAAUAAAUGAUAACUGAUUUCUAAUGAUGGUCCACUAAGUCCAUUUUUUUUUAAAAUCACACAUAAAUUAAGGUUGUGACUUCUGUUUUAAUAUAUAAGAUACACAUAUUUAGGAGUAUUAUUUAAAAACAAAAAAAAAAUCUGUAAAAUAAAUAUAUUUAUCUAGAUUGGGUAAUUUAGUCAUUUAACAUAAAUAAAAAUGUACUUUUCAAAAUAGAUAAAUGGAAUGAUAGUUUUCAAAAUAAAAUCUCAAGUAAAUGUAUUUAUCCAAAUUUUCCCUUAUAAUAAAUCAUAUGUAUUUUUUUAGUUAGGAAUUAUACUAAUUAAUAUAUUAUUGUACAAAAUUUCAUGAAAAUGAGUAAUACAAAUUUUAUUAUUAGUAAACUAUGAUACUUGAUAUAAUAUAAAAUAAAAAUGAGUAGAUAAAAAUGUGUUUCUAAUGUUUGAGGUUGGGAAUGUUGCAUGUAAAUAAAUAAAAAUAAUCUUUCUAAACUUUAUUUAAAAUAAAUUAUUAAAAUUCAGAUAUCUAUACUAUUAUUUGCGAAGUAAAUUUUUGGAAUCGAGAUCUCACGUUAAAAGUUAGAGCGGUUAAUAUCUAUAAUACCCUUAAUGAAUUUUAUAUAUAAUUAAUUAUAUAAUCAAAAACGAAUUUUGAUUAAUAAUAUUAAUUUUUUUAAAAAAUAAGAUAAUUCUUAUAUAUUGUGUUGUUAUCUUAAAACAUAUUUUCCAAUUAUAAAAUUUAAAAAUAAACUAUAAAACAAUUAUAAUAAAUUCAGUGGUUAAAGUUAAUGUUAUCUUUAAUAAAUUUUAAUUAAACGUAUAUAUUUAAUUAGAUUUUUGUCAUAUAUAUAUAUUUUUUUGAUUUAAUUUUUUUGAAAACAUAAAUAAUAAGUUAUUAUGCUGGUUUUUGAAUUAAUAAAAAAUAAACUAAUAAAUAUUUGUAAACGAUUAAGCCCGCAUAUGCGGGCAAGACACCUAGUUAUAAGUACAUACUAGUGUUUUGCCCGCACAUGCGGAUAUACUUUUCUUACAAAUAAUUAUUAGUUUGCCAAAUACAAUAAAUAAUUAUUUAUGUUUUAACAAAAAGUUUAAAUCAAACAUCAAUAUAUAUAAUAAAUAUUUUCAUCAAAAUAUAUGUUUAUUAUUGUUAUAAACUUUUAAAAGCAAUUAUAUAUUAGAAAAUUUUUAUAUCUUAAUUUUUAUAAUAAAAAAUAUUAUUUACAGAUAACAAAAAAUAUAGAUAUAUUAUAUAUAAGAAUUAUCUUUUUUUUUUUAAGUAUGAUUUUAUUUUGAUGAUUUUUUCAUAUUAGUUUAUAAUCAAUUAGCUAAUAUAACUUAUAAUCUAAUAUUAUUAAUACAUAAUUCUUUUUAAUGAUGUAAUAAGAAAACAUAUCUAAAAUCAUGGAAAACAUCACAGAUAAACAAAAUCACUUUUUGAUUGAUUAAUAUUUAAUUAUAAAUUAUUCUAUGUCUUAAUCUUUUAUAAUCGAAAAUAUCUUUUUUUAAAGAGAAAAUGACACAAAGAACACUAAACCAAGUUUUCCUCCCCAAACUAGCACUCAGGAUCAGAAAUCACAAAAAUAGGUUUCAUUAAAGGGGCAAUUUACCCUUAUGCCCUCUUCUUUAACUAAUUUAAAAAACAAAUUUGAAAUCAAUUGUCGCCGUCCUCGUUUCAUCGCUUCUUCUUCUCCUCAUCGCUGUCUUUCGUCGUCGUCUCUCCGUCGUCGUCGUCUCUCCGUCGUCGUUUCUCAAUUGAUCUGUCGUUUCUACGUCUAUUCAUCUCAUUCUCUCUCUCGUGUGUCUGAUUUGAUUAAGGUUUGAAUCAUUUCAUUUUGUUAUACAUUAUCUAGGUUUUGUUAUAUAUUAUUCAUUUGUUGAUGAAUUGAAGUUGAUUUUGUAGAACAAUGGAAGUUUUGUGCAUCUGUGGACAAUGGAUCUCAAAAGAAUCUCUCCAGUGGGAGUUUCUUGUUGAUUUGAAGAGGAAUGCAUCAAUCAUUUCCAUAGAAGAAGAUCUACUGUAUGAAGAUUUGAUGAAGAUUGUCUCUGAAGAUUUUAGUGUUAAAGAGGAAGAAAUCAGUUUGAGUUAUGGUUUUUCAUUGGAUAAGAAAUGUAUUAUUGAAAGUUUCCCCCCACUCUCGAUAGGUAAUACUCGUCAGCUCAGAACUUUCAUUUCCAAGACUAGAGCAUUUGAUGGAACCUGUCGUUUGUGUGUUAAGGUUUGUAUGAUUUUUUUCUUACUUAGACUUUUCAGGAUAUGCUUCAUAACCAAGUAUUAUGUCUUACAGAACUACUUGACUUUUGCAGGUUAGUACUGAUCCAGCUAGCUGUAACACUCAAGCUUCUGAUACAUUUGCUUCUACUGUUCCAUUGAAUGCCAAUCCAGCGCUUCUUUCUACUGUGCAGAGUGAAAAACAGGUACAUUGUCCUUAAUUCCCUUUUUCUGUUUGUGUUUGCAUGAUAUGCUUCAUAAUCAAGUAUUAUGCCUUACAGAACUACUUGACUUUUGCAGAGUUUUCUAUAUGAAGGUGUUUCUACAGUUCCUCUGAAUGCUCUUCCGGAUUUUAGUACUGAUUCAGCUAGCUGUAACAUUCAAGCUUCUGAUACAUUUGCUUCUACUGUUCCAUUGAAUGCCAAUCCAGUGAUUCUUUCUACUGUGCAGAGUGAAAAACAGGUGCAUUGUCCCUAAUUCCCUUUUUCUGUUUGUGUUUGCAUGAUAUGCUUCAUAAUCAAGUAUUAUGCCUUACAGAACUACUUGACUUUUGCAGAGUCUUCUAUAUGAAGGUGUUUCUACAGUUCCUCUGAAUGCUCUUCCGGAUUUUAGCCCUGUCCAUAUUGGACUUUCACCAAACACGAGAGUAGCUGGCGAUAUUAAGGUGAAUAGCUAUUUUAAGACAAAGAGAGAGUUGAUGUUGAGGAUGAAGAAAUGGGCUUUAGAGUGGAAGUUUGAGUACAAGACUGUCUCUUCUAACAAGUCAAGAGUGCUUUUGAGUUGUGUUGAUGAAAAUUGCACGUGGAGGAUGCGUGCUAUCAAGCUACCUGUUUCAGAUUUUUUCGUUGUUAAAAAGUAUGUUCAUGAGCAUACAUGCGAUACAACACACAGGAAAGCCAACCACAGACAAGCAUCUGCAAAGUUGUUGGGUUCUUUGAUUUCCAGCAAUUAUGGAGAAAAAAAGGAAGGUCUCAAACCGAAACAGAUCAUUGAACAGGUCAGGAUGCUGCAUGGUGUUCACAUCAAUUACAAACAAGCUUGGAGAGUGAGAGAAGAAGCUCAGAUUUUGGUUAGAGGGACUCCUGAAGACAGCUAUUACAAUUUGUCUAGGUGGUUGUAUAAAAUCACAGAAACAAACCCUGGUUCCUUGACUUAUCAACAUGUUGAUGCUGCAGGAAAGUUCAAGUAUGCAUUUGUGGCUUUUGGUCCAUCGAUAAGGGGAUUCUCAUUGAUGAGGAGAGUUAUUGCAGUAGAUGGUACAUUUCUGAAGGGAAAAUUCAAUGGGACUUUAUUGGCAGCUUGUGCUCAAGAUGGGAAUUAUCAUCUAUAUCCUCUCGCCUUUGCAGUGGUUGACGCAGAAAACGGCGCCUCUUGGAAAUGGUUCUUUAGAGGUUUGAGCCAGAAGAUCCCGGACGCUUCGGAUCUUGUUUUUGUAUCAGACAGGGCUAACUCCAUUUCUUCAGCGUUGGAGGAUGUAUAUCCCUUAUCUCACCAUGGAAUUUGCAGGAUCCAUCUGCUCCGCAACAUCACUCCUACAUAUGCGAAGACUGGGUUGCUACCUCUGGUGGAAAGCGCUGCUGAUGCCUAUACGUGUCACGAGUUCUGGUUAAUCUUCAAGGACAUAAAGGAUAAAUGUCCUGAAUUGGCUAAGUAUCUGGAAGAGUCUGAUUUUAGGAAGUGGGCACGAAGCUAUGCGCCUGCGAACAGGUAUAAUAUCAUGACUACCAACAUUGCAGAGUCUCUCAAUUCUAUGUUGAAGAUGCCUCGUGAGUUGCCCAUUAUCUCUCUCCUUGAAACUAUCAGAUUGACGAUGACCACUUGGUUUUUUGAGCGACGCGAAGCGGCUGCGAAACAUAAGCACCUGGUUACUCCAAAAGUUGUGCAGAAAUUGGUAUCUAGGUUAGGGGCCGCAAUGUUGUUGAAUGUGUAUCAAGUUGAUCGAAGCGAGUUUGAGGUGAAGAUGAAACAAUGAAGUUUGUUGUUGACUUGGAGAAGCGGCAUUGCACAUGUAAUGUUUUCGACAUUGACAAGAUCCCCUGCAUCCAUGCCAUCGCUGCUGCUAAGCAUAUCAAGAGAGAUGAAAACCGUUUUGUUGAUGCUUCUCACUUGACAGAAACGUGGGCUAAAGCUUAUGCUGAAAGCAUACAUCCUGGUGGAGAGUUGUCAACGUCCACCUAUCCAGAGAAUAUUGAUGAACUGUCUUGCCCACCUCCAGCUACCAAAAAGAAAAGUGGACGCCCUCCUACAAAGAGAAAGAGAUCCGUUGGCGAGUUUGGGGUUCCUGGAUCUAAAUCUCAGUCCCACAAGUGCAGCAGAUAUGGCACAGGAGGGCACAACAAGAUCACAUGCCAGAGGCCUAUAGGAUGAAGUUCUACAUUUUUACAUUUUUAUCGAUUAUUAUUUGGAUGUUGGCUAUUUGAUGGUUACAUGAUAUGCACAAGACCAUAUACAUUUUUUCUUUUGGAACCCUAUCCUGAAUAAGUAUGAUUUCUUCCAACUUUUGUAAUAUACAACAUUAUUUUUUGAUCUCAUUUCAAUUUUUAGUUUAAACUUCUUUGCUAGAAAAAAACACAGUAAUAUUCAACUAUUCUGGAAUCCCAUCCAGAAAUACCGAGUUCAUUUCCAAGGUUUAUAAUACAACAUUUUCUGUUAAGAAUAAUUAUGUGGAAAAGUGUAACAGAUGAUUCUCCUCAGUCUAGCGGCUAAAACACCUAUCUGUCGAAAUUGUAACGCUUGACUCGACCCGGGUUCGAUUCCCCUACUAAUCAGAGUUUUUUAAAAAAAUUUAAGUUGAAUAAAAAUAAAAUAAAUAUAUUACUUUACUUACAACAUGUAAUGACUGAAAUUAACUUGGCCUAGUGGCUACUACACCUUAGUUCCCUCUUUCCUCCUAGUCAUCUUCAGGUUCGAAUCCUAUGAGAUGUGUAUAUAUAUUUUUUUUCCUCCAAAAUUUGCAAAUCACAUUAUCAAAUUUUCCAAAUGUGUAGAUAUUAAUCCUUAGUUUUGAUCUCAUUUCAUUUUUUUCUAGUUUAAGAAAGAAGCACACUAAUAUUCAUGUAUAUUAUUCAUGCAUACUCUGGAAGCCCAUCCUGAACUAUCUAAGAUCUUUCCAAUGUAUUUUACUAUAAAUUCAAUUAUGUGGAAGCAACUAACAGAUGAUUCUCCUCAGCCUAGCGGCUAAACCAAGAAACCUAUGAUACCGAAACAUUUGUUCGACCCGGGUUCGACUCUCCUACGAGUAAUGGUUGAUUUUUUUUUUUUUGUUCAAACAUAUAUCUCAGGAAUCGAAGAGUCUCUUCCAAACGACAUCAUGUAACUCAGUAACCGAAGAGUUUCUUUUCGUCAAGAUUGGCUGUUAUAUGAUUGGUUAUUUCAGUAACUGACUUCAAAAAUCGAAGAGUUCCACAAUAAUCAAGAGUUUAUUUUAACUGACUUCAAUAAUCGAAGAGUUCCUUUUAGUUCUAUAAAUAUAAGGGACGAUAUCAGACCUUUUAUUCACUCACUUCAUUUCGUCUGAUUUAUCCUUUUGCAAUACAAGUUAGUUUUCGAUUUUUCUCAUUUUCCAUUCAAUUCAUGAACUUUUUUCUAUUUCUAUUUUAUCGUAACAUCUUAGUUUCGAUUUUGUUGCAGGACAAAGUUUCAAUGGAAGGAAGUUCAAAGAAGAUGAUGAAGCGUCCCAUAGAGGAGGUUUACGGAUGUGAUGCCGCCGAAGGUUUCAAUAAGGGGAAGAAGGAAACUGUGGUACAUUACAGGGCUCUUCUUCGUUUGUCCAACGAAUACAGGCUAUCUGAGAAUGAUUGGAAUCUGGCAUCCAGCAAAGCAAAUUCAAUUGCUGUCCAAAUCGAGUUGCUUGAAGAUAUUAUCAAAGCUGAUGGAAAAUUUGAUUUAACUGCUGAGUUGGAGAAACUCAAAGAAGAGCACUCGGAAGCGGAAGGAAUGCUUGCUGAUGUGAAGGUCAAAGUCCCUGAUUGGGAUAAACUUGGCGAAAGUUGGCUGUGUCAUGAGUAAUUUCAUGUUAUCAUCUUCUCUUUUUAUGUUUUUAAGGACCACAUUAUGUUUGAUUUUCAGUUUUUAUUUUAAAUGAAUAAGUACUUUUGUUUCUCUUGUGUUGUUUCUUCAAUUAACAACCUAAAUAAAAAACUUGUUCAAUGUUUUUCACUAUUUUGUAAUGGUUUGGCCUAGUGUUCUUGUAACUUGGUUAUCUGAUUUGCUUAUUUGUUUUUGGAAAGCCAUCCUGAAUACAUAAAAUGAUAUCCAGAUUAUAUAAAUCUAUCGUCUGUGAAUAAAUAAGUUCACAUUUACUCUGUUAUCGAAUAUCCACCGUAGCCUAGUGGCAAGCCCUUCUACUCUUAGUGUACCCUUAUCACACAAUAAGCCGUGUUCGAUCCCCGUUGUGUAUACUCACAUUUUUUUCUGUUUUUAAUUAAAUAUUCAAAAGUUAUUUUCGUUUUAUUAUAGCUUUUGGCAAGUAUAACACCCUUGGUACAACGGCUGCACACUUUGAUUCAUCUUUCGAGAGUUCACGAGUUCAAUCAACAUCAGAUCACAUUCUUUUUCAUUUUUUUUUUGUAAACUUUAAAGGAAUUUGUUUUUGGAAAGCUAUCCUGAAUACCUAAAAUGAUAUCCAGAUUAUAUAAAUCUAUCGUCUGUGAAUAAAUAAGUUCACAUUUACUCUGUUAUCGAAUAUCCACCAUAGCCUAGUGGCAAGCCCUUCUACUCUUAGUGUACCCUUAUCACACAAUAAGCCGUGUUCGAUCCCCGUUGUGUAUACUUACACUUUUUUCUGUUUUUAAUUAAAUAUUCAAAAGUUAUUUUCGUUUUAUUAUAGCUUUUGGCAAGUAUAACACCCUUGGCACAGCGGCUGCACACUUUGAUUCAUCUUUCGAGAGUUCACGAGUUCAAUCAACAUCGGAUCACAUUCUUUUUCAUUUUUUUUUGUAAACUUUAAAGGAAUUUGCUAGGCUUUGGUGCAUUUUGCUUUCUCACUCUUUUUCUGGAAACCCAUCCUAAAAGUACCAUAAGCAUUUGACAAUUCAUCAAUACAUCCUAAAAAUUUUUCAAUAACAAUCUAAAUGAAAAAAACGUUAGGGAUAAUUCAUUACAAACUGAAACUUAAACGUUAGGGAUAAUUAAUAUCAAAGUAGAAAAACAGAGUAGAAAACAGAGUAGAACAAAUAUGACAUUUUCACUUCCUUUGACCUUCCUGGAAAUCUUUAUCCAUAAACUGGUCGAAGAUCUCACAACAUAGCUUGCUUCGUAAGUCCAUCGCAGUUUCAUCAUUUAUAUUAGCCAUGCUCUUCAAUCCCAGUGACCUGCAUUCCAGCAUCUUCACAACAAAAAUACCACAGUUGUAUGGAAAUUUUGUCUUUGGAAGCCCUUCUGCAAACUUAACUUCAAAUGGACUGAUAUCUUCGAAAUUAACCUCUUCACCAAGAAGUUCCAUCUUUAUGGCACUAAUCAACACUGUCAUAAAUACCCAAAAUUAUACAAUAAAUCAAUCACCAACAGACAACAAAAUGAAUAUGUAAAAAUGCAUCACAAGCACAAGCAGCAAGUGACAAACUUUUAUUUUCUAAAUUAGCUAAAAUUCUUUUUUCAGGAUACGCAUACUUUCACAAUCCUAUCCAUUAUCAAUGUAACAAUAUAAAUUAAACUGAUUUUUCUACACUGAAUGAUAAAAUUAAUAAAUCACAAGAGUUUUUACCUGCCAGUUCUUGGAUUUGAUUAAGAGCACGUUUGAUAUUUGCUUUUGGAAGACCACAAUGGAAGAGUGUGAUUGUGUUGUCCAUCAAUUGUAUCUCCACCCCAAUAUAGUGAUAGCUCAACUUAUCUUCAAUGACACCAUAUAUAACAUCAACAUCUUCCAGCCAUACCUUCUUUGGAUGUAUUAAACCUUUCACAAGUUCGCCUACACAGCCCUCCAAUAACGUUUGUUUUUUCUUAUGUGGCUUCCUGACAGAUUCAUAAGCGUACCCAACCACUUCUAAGAAUUUGACUGGUACAAAGCAUGCUGCUGGAAGAUUGUUGUUGCGGAACCAAGCACCUUGCUCAACCCUCUUACAAUUUAGCAUUUCAAAUGCAACAUUUAUGUGCUGCCAAUGUAACAAUAUAGUUAGAAACUUCAUAUAGAACUGCUAUAACAUGGACAUCUAGCAUAGCUCAACUCAACCUCUUCCUAAACAUAUGACACAAUCAAAUAGAAGACAGAACAGAGUGUUGAUUACCUCUUUGUUGAGAUUGUUUUCUGCAUCGUCCAUUUUUUGAAAGAACUCUUUUUCAAUUUCUUUUCCAUUGAUAUAAAACGGUCUGUAGUUGAUAAAAUUAACUAGUAUCAAUCGAAACUUUUACAAAAUAAAUUAGGAAUAUUUAUGCGAGGACAAAAAGUUGCUUACACACGAUAUAUGCCCCGUAGAUCCAUCCAGUGUGCAAGCCUUGAAAACCGAGGAAAUUCAGGUGUCACAAAUGGAUCAAUUGGAAGGAUUACCUCAGGUGUUACAGGUAUAGGAGGGUUUCUAGGUCGUAUUGGCCUCUUCUCUUCUCGCUGUAGAAAAGGAAGCAAAUCUACUGGCUGAGCAUUUGCUUUCUUCUUCUUACCAACAUCAGGCUUCCCCUUUAAUUAAAAAUAAAGACAAAAAUUCAGGAUCGUUUUUAUCUUUAUACUUGAAUGCCUUCCUAAUAUGAAGUAAAAAUAUUUUUUAUACCUUUUUUGCAUGAUCGUCUUGACUUGGUUUCACACUCUUACCCUGCUUUACUUCCAUCUGUGAAACAAAACCGAUAUAUCAAACUAUUGACCUGAACUUCAAUUCAAGUGGAUCUUAUUCAUUUUUAUUACCUCUUUUGCCAUUUUCCCAACACCAUCUUCUGAUGGACCAGCUGCUUCAUUUUUCUUACAAGCGACAGCCUUCGCCUUCCCCUUUUUGAAUGACAAAAAUUCAGAUACAUUUAUAUCUUAAUUCCUAGUAUGAUGUAUAAAUAUUUCAUACCUUUUUAUCACCAUCUCCUUCACUUGGAUUCACACUCUGCGUCUGCUCUUCUUCCAUCUGAAAAUCAAUACCGAGAUAUUAAACAAAUGACAUUAUUUUUCAAUUCAAGUGAUCCAAGGCAUUUGUUUUACCUUUUUUGUCAUCUCCCAAACACCAUCUACCCAUUUUCUUGGUUUUCGCAUCUCAGAAUGGUGGAAGUAAAUUUGUUCUUUAGAAUUGUUCAAAGAGACAAAACACGAGCCAUCAAACAAAAUGACUUUAACUUUUCCAGCGCACCAGGCACCAUUGUCGAACGCCUCCACGUCCUGCAUUAGCUCAUAACUUUUCUUCGCUCCAGAUCUCUCAGGUGGUGGUUGAGGACGUAUUCUGUCAAUUGAUACACGUGUCUCAACACUCCUUUUCCUCUUCUUUUCGUCCAGAGACGGGACGGAGUACUCAACUUUCACCAUCUCAACCCCAUCAACCAAAUAUGUUGCCAACACAUUUCCUGGAUACCAUUUAUGACAAGUAUUGUCAUCUUGUGAUGAAAUCUCCACAUUUGCUCCGAUCUCAAAGGGAUUUUGAACUCUGCUUUCUACAUCCUGUGAUGGUUUAGAUUCAAGGAUAUCCAGUCAUUUUGAUAGUUGCUGUAUAUUUAUUAAAGGUUUUAAUGAAAGUAAUACCUUAUUUUGCUCUGUUAAAAGAUUUCUGCGAGCUCGGGUAUUUGGCUGUGUGUCGGAAAUGUUUGGUGAAAUGAUCUCAUUCAUAAGCUCGUGAGUCUCCUGAAUUCAGGAAUGGUUGAAUGAACACGUACAAGGGCUUCCAAAAAUUACUUGAAAAGUCCAAUUUUUUAAAGAAGGUACCUGCUGCGUCUGAAUUGGAGUAAGGACUGGAGUCUCAAUAUUCUGUUGAGCUAUUGGAGAACCAGGUGUCUCUUUCGUGAUCUCAUUCAUAGGCUCUCGUGUAUCCUGAAGUCAGGAAUGGGAUUAUGAACUCGUACAAGAACUUCCAAAAAUUAAUUUAAGUACAACCAAAUUCAUAAUUUUAUAAAUACCAACAGUUUUCAAAAUUAUACUUGCCUCAUUGUUAAGUUGUUCAUCUGCUUGAUCUGCAUUGGCUUCACCUUGUCUGGAAGCCGUCUCAUGAAAUGGAGUUGUGUCAGUCUGUGCAAGUACAACAAAAAUUAGGAAGGCAAUCCUAAAUAUGUAUAACAUCUUCCAAAAUUACUUGACAACUCAAAAAAAAAACUGAAUCAAGAACUAGAUAAACAUUAAUUUUAAUUUCCGAAAAAAAGUUACCUCAUUGUUUGGAGUUUCAUAUGAAGUAACUCUUUGUAGUUUCUCUAGUUUUGUCACACGUUCUUUAAUCUGUUUCCUGUCUUUUUCAAUCAAACACAAACGAUCGUUCAUGAUCCUUAAAUUAUCUCCCACCAUCUCGCUGAUUCUGUUGAUCUUUGAUUCCAAAGACUCCUCCUGAUACGAAGAAGAAGCUUGACUCAUCCCUCCAUUCCCAAACAGUAAAGAUGCUCUUCUUAUUUGUUCAUUAGCACCGUAUAGGUCUACUGACAUGUUUCGCCAAUCUCUAAUUUUAAACUUAUAACCUCUCUUGGAUAAAUCGGCCAUGUCAUCCAGAUCUUUAUUAGCUUCGUCUUCCAUGCAAACAUCAGCUUCUGGAUCAUUAGAAAUAGGAGGUAGGAUGCAUGUGACCUUAAGCUGAAACCAUAAAAAUAAUUAGCUUUUAAAUGGAGAAUCAUAAGGCAAAACAGAAACAAGAAAAAAAUAAUGUAAAAACUUACAUGAUCUUUGAUUUCAAUUAGGAGAACAUCUAUCAGCUGUGGAGAAGCUAUUUGAAGGUACUUCUCACACAAAAAUAUUGGGGUAGACGGUUGAACGCUCAGAAUAGGAACAACUUGACUGAAUGCAUACUGUAGCAAAGGUACUGACUCAAGUAUCCAUAUAAGAAAUGCCAUAGGGAAUCCUUGCAAAUCAUAAUUGUUUUUGUCGAGGCUUUUGUCGACAGCUCUCUGAAGUGAUUUUAACAGCAAAUUAUAAGCUGUUCUCCCCCAUGGGUAUGUCAUCAAGACAUCCAUAUCCUGCGCUAUUUUCACAUAAUCCAAAGUAAAAGUUGUGCCACCGUCGAGAAGGCUCUUCUGUAGUAGUAUGCUCUCAAUCAGGAGGAGCAUUGCAAGGCAGAAUCUCUCAUCAGAAGCAUCUUCUCUUGUGUUUCUGAGCUGCUUCUCCACGUCCUUUACUGUAUGAGUACGCCCUUUUAGGAAGUCCCACUUAAAUUUCUCGGUUUCCUCUCGUGGUUCUCUUGCUUCACCACUACAUUUCAAACCAGUCACCAUGUGGAAUUCUCUUAUAGAGAACCUCAUUGGCUGAGCACCAAAAUGGAACCAUGCUUCGUGUCUCUUCACUGUCUUGAUGCUUUUGGUGAGAACUGCGUGCACUAUCUUAGCUGAUAAUUUCAAAGACCUCUCUCCAAGCUUGAUCACCGGUCCCAAAAACGUCCCUCUUAUUCUGUUGAACUCAUCAUUUCCUAGAAUUUCCUUAACAGUUUUGAUAUAAGCAACUAUCGAGUGUUGGUUUAUCGAUAUCGUCUUCUCUGGCUCUGAUCCAAUCGGAUACCUCAGCUCAGGCAGUGCUAGUCUUAAUGGUAAUGGAUCUCCCAUCUUGUUUCUAUCCUGCGUAAACAAGAAAAAUUUUAUUUGUCUAAAUUAAUUAAAAUCCAAUUUUCAGGAAGGGUUUCCUGAAACAAUACAAAUCCUUCCUGAGUCUAUACACAUGCUUUCACAUGAACUAGAAUUCUACCAAUCAUAUUAGGUUAAAACGAGCAAGUCUAUACACAAGCAAAAACCAGGAGACCAAUCUCUCAGAAAGAAAACACACAUAAGGUUGAAUCUGCAACAUACCUUAAGAGAUAGAGCUCUAGAAAUGGUUUUUCUCGGAGAAUAGAGAGAGCUCGCGUAAAAGAUCGAGAGAGAGAGAGAGAGUUCUGGAGAUGGGUUUUCGUCGGAGAUCGAGAGAUAUGGAGAUGAGAGAGAGAUUCGAGAGGCGGAGACGAGUGAGAUUCGAGAAGUUUGAAACGGCGAGAGUGUUGAGACGGCAAGAGUUUUGUCUUUUUUCAAUCGAAAUGUAUUGUUUUGGAAACCUAUCCUAUAUUAAUUGGUUUAAGUAUGCUUAUGUAAUAUUCUUUAACAGAUGAUUCUCCUCAGACCAGCGGUUAAACCAAGGCAUUUCAUAACUCAAAAGUCUCUCUAUCCCCGGGUUCGAUAUGUGGUGGAUUCAAAAUCAAUUUUAAUUUUUUUUUGUGUUACAGUUUGGAGUUAAAUAAAAUUAAAUGUAAUCCAUUAACAGAUGAUUCUUCUUGGCCUAGUGGCUAAACUCCCACACUAUCCAAAUACGCAAACUCUCUCCCUCUGGGUUCGAUCCUUUGUGGUUCUAAAUUUUUGUUGUCUGUAAACAUCACAAUUUUAAGCUUACCAUAUACAUGUCCAAUCCUUAGUAUAUAAUCUCAUUUCAUUCUUUUUUACAUUUGAAACACUUAACUUUUUUUCUGGAAACCCAUCCAGAAACAUUAUUUUAACCUUCCAAGAUAUAUGAUACCCAAAAAAAUACUUGAUAUCCUUCCAAUCUUUCUUAUGUAACCAGACGCCAACAACAUAACAAAAUAAACAGUCAUAACUAAAACCGAGUCUUAACUAAAACAAAAAAUGUUUUCAUGCAUCAUUCUCAUUUCCCAAAGCUCUCAUCCACAAAUUGGUUGAAGAUCUCACAAGACAAGGUUCUCCUUAGCUCCAAUGCAUUGUCAUCAUUAAUCUUUGUCAUGUCUCCUAUCUUCAAUGACUGGCACUCCAGAAUCUUGACAAGAAAUAUCCCACAGUUGAAAGGAUGUUUUGUCUUGGGUAAACCUUGUGCCUACUCAAUCUCAAAUGGAAUCAUCUUCACUUUAUCUACCUCAUCACCAGAAGAUUCUACCAGCAGAUCAGAAAUCAACACUGUCAUAUUUAAAAAUCAAUAUCAAGAUAGAAUCAGUUGAAUAUUUCAAACCAAGAAACAGUUGAAUACAUCAAAUACAAAUUGUUUAUACAUACCUGCCAACUUUUUCACUUGAAGAAUAUCAAUGCUGUUGCUUUCCUUUUGAAAACAAUCAUAUACUGUGAUUCUUUUCUUCUUCAAAUGAAUUUUCAUCCCAAUCCAGACAUUGCUUUUUUUUUCCAAGAGUAAUCCCAUACACAACAUCAACAUCUUCUCCCCAUGUUUUCUCUGGAUAUACCUUCCCUCUCACAAUAUCUUUAAAUAAAUUGUUGAAAACUUUUUUCCUUUGACCUUUUCUUUCUUGUAAGCCAAAUCAUCAGAGAGCAAGCAAUGCAAGAACUCCAUAGGUAGGAAGCACGCCUUUGGAAUCUUGUAGUUGUGGAACCAAGCAGCAUUCUCAUUUCUUCUGCAAUUUAGCAUUGCAAAGGCUCCAUCAAUGUGCUGCAAAAAAAAGGCAAACAUUAUCUAAUUUGUUACUAUAUAAUUCCUGAAACUAAACAAAUCCUUCCUGAAUUUUUUUUUUAAAAAAAAGCUCAAGGCAAGAACAUAUGUAAACAAAUUACCUCUUUCUUAAGGUCCUUUUUUGCAUUUUCCAUGCUUUGAAAGAAAGAUUUCCUUAUCUUAUUAUCAUUGAUUGAUAGGGACCUGCAGUCGAUUAAAGAUUCAAAGGAAUUACCAAACCUCUUAUACAUAAAUAUAAGAAUAUAUAGACAAGGACAGAAACAUGCUUACGUUUCAUGCAUGCCGGGCUUUAAUGUCAUCCAAUUUUGAAGCCUUGAAAGCUUAUGUUCCGCAGGAGUUGAAAACGGAUCAACUGCAGGUAUAAUCUCAGGUAUUACAGUUAAAGCCGGAUUUCUGUCAGACUUGAAUGGAGUUUUUGUGUCUCUAGAUCGUUUAGGCACCCUCUCGCUCCUUCUUAGGAAAACAUUAUCCAUUCCUGAAUUUUGUGAUGAGGCAGCAGCUUUCCUUUUCUUAUCAGGCUUCACCUUUAAUCAAACAAUAGACACCAAGCAAAAUAUUAUCAAAUUUGUUGCAAUCGGAAUUUCUGGAAACCAUUCCUGAAACUAAAAUGUAUGUAUAUCAAACAAUUCACGUGAAGUAUAAUUCUAGUUAUGAUUUACCUUAUCUGCCAUCUUCCAGACUCCAUCUUUCCAUUCUCUAUGAAUUCGCAAAUCUGAAUGUUUGAAUAGAAUAGUUUCCAUAGAAGUAUAGAGACACACCGAGUAUGUGUUAUCACCAAGUACCAUGCUAAUUUGUCCGCUGCUCCAGCCAUUGUUGUAAAAGGCUUCUACCUUAUCCAUCAUCUCAAAGGAUUUUUGGUCACUAGUUGGUGUUGCAGGACGUAUUUUGUCAGCCGUGAUAGUAUCCUGAAGUUUCUGAAGUCUAUGUUGGUCUGUGAAGAGUGUCGUGUACUCAACUGUCAGCUCCUCUAGUCCUUCACACAGUUUAAGAUCAACAACCUUUCCUGGAUACCAUAUUUCGUCAUCAGUAGACAAAAUCUCAACCUCUGCGCCUAUUUGAAAGUGAGCUAGAAGCCUGCUUACUUCAACCUAUUAAAAAUGAAGAUUCAGUAACAUCAGCGGUUUUAAAUUGUUAGAAUAAUAAUUAAAGAUCAAAUAUACUCGAUGCAUACCUCGUUUGUUUCUGAAAAAUCUAUAGCACUUGUCUGAAGAUGCUCUGUUUGCUGAGUAAUAGGCGGCAUCUUCGAAACAUCUGUGGAAACUAGCUCAGUAGUAGGUUCUGUAGUAUCCUUGAGAUUUUCUUCUGCUUGAUUCUGCUCUGAUGGUGUCUCAUCGGAUUGAUCUCCCUCACUUGUCUGAAGGUGCUGUGUUUGCGGAGUAAGAGGCUGUGUCUUCGAAACAUCUGUGGAAACUAGCUCAGUAGUAGGUUCUGUAGUAUCCUUGAGAUAUUCUCCGCUUGAUUCUUUCUGCUUGAUUGUGUAUGCUCUCCUUCACUUGUAGAAAAAUAUUGGGUCGCAGUUUCUGUCUCACUCUAUAAGACAAAAGUAAAUGGUAAGAGUUAGUUGAAUAGAAAAAUAUUACAUAAACAUUUUAAAUAUUUCUUCUUACCAAAGCAUUCUUAUUUUCUUCAAUAACUAGUGCAAUUAGUGAAGACAAUGGAGAGGAAGGUGUGUGAUGCACAGCAUGUGUAUCCUCCUGUAAUAACAGUAAAAUAAAAGAGGUAGUUAUGAAGAAGUUUCUACAAUUUAAAAUUCAAGUUGUACUUAUGAAAGACAUUUCUAUGCUUACCUUUUUAUUGUUUGCUGAAAUGAUCUCAGUCAAUGGCUGUGUAGCCUCAUACGUUUCCUCUGUUACCGUCUGCAAAAAAAACAAAAAAAAGUCAGGUAGGGGAUCAAAAACACGUACAAAAGCUUUCAAACAUUACUUGAAAUCUCCAAGAUUUUUUGAACAUUUACCUGCUGUUUCUGAAUUGGAGUAAAAACUUGAGCCUCAAUACUCUUUGGAGAUAUUGGAGAAGAAGGUGUCUCAUUCAUUUCCAGUGUUUCUUUUUGCAAAACUUGAGUCUGAGCAGCAGGUGACUCAAUCACAAUCUGCAAAAAAUAUCAGGAAAGGCCAUCAUGAAUACAUUCAAUUAUAAUUUCUAGAGUAAAUAUUACCUCAUCAUCUGGUUUUCCUUCUUCUUGAUUAGUUUUGGGUGGCGUUUCAUCAGUAGAGGUUUGUGUUUCCCUCUGCCAAAAAUUAGAAAGGUCUAUAUAUGUAAAUCACCCAAAACUAAUUGUAAACUCCAACUGUCAUUGAGCAUAUACCUCUUUUGUCAGAUUAGGAGUAAAAACUUGAGUAUCAAGGGCAGGCGUGUCAUCCGAUGGCUCUCUCUCAAUCUGUAAAAAUUAUCACGAAGUCAAUCCAGAGUACGUUCUAAAGCUUCCAACAUUAACUUAAAAAUCCAAGAAUUUUUUUGACCAUGUACCCUGCUGAGUCUGACUUGGAGUAUCUAAAGGGAGUUUCAAUACUCUUUGGAGCUAUUGGANNNNNNNNNNNNNNNNNNNNNNNNNNNNNNNNNNNNNNNNNNNNNNNNNNNNNNNNNNNNNNNNNNNNNNNNNNNNNNNNNNNNNNNNNNNNNNNNNNNNGGAAGUUUUGUGCAUCUGUGGACAAUGGAUCUCAAAAGAAUCUCUCCAGUGGGAGUUUCUUGUUGAUUUGAAGAGGAAUGCAUCAAUCAUUUCCAUAGAAGAAGAUCUACUGUAUGAAGAUUUGAUGAAGAUUGUCUCUGAAGAUUUUAGUGUUAAAGAGGAAGAAAUCAGUUUGAGUUAUGGUUUUUCAUUGGAUAAGAAAUGUAUUAUUGAAAGUUUCCCCCCACUCUCGAUAGGUAAUACUCGUCAGCUCAGAACUUUCAUUUCCAAGACUAGAGCAUUUGAUGGAACCUGUCGUUUGUGUGUUAAGGUUUGUAUGAUUUUUUUCUUACUUAGACUUUUCAGGAUAUGCUUCAUAACCAAGUAUUAUGCCUUACAGAACUACUUGACUUUUGCAGGUUAGUACUGAUCCAGCUAGCUGUAACACUGAAGCUUCUGAUACAUUUGCUUCUACUGUUCCAUUGAAUGCCAAUCCAGCGCUUCUUUCUACUGUGCAGAGUGAAAAACAGGUACAUUGUCCUUAAUUUCCUUUUUCUGUUUGUGUUUGCAUGAUAUGCUUCAUAAUCAAGUAUUAUGCCUUACAGAACUACUUGACUUUUGCAGAGUUUUCUAUAUGAAGGUGUUUCUACAGUUCCUCUGAAUGCUCUUCCGGAUUUUAGUACUGAUUCAGCUAGCUGUAACAUUCAAGCUUCUGAUACAUUUGCUUCUACUGUUCCAUUGAAUGCCAAUCCAGUGAUUCUUUCUACUGUGCAGAGUGAAAAACAGGUACAUUGUCCCUAAUUCCCUUUUUCUGUUUGUGUUUGCAUGAUAUGCUUCAUAAUCAAGUAUUAUGCUUUACAGAACUACUUGACUUUUGCAGAGUCUUCUAUAUGAAGGUGUUUCUACAGUUCCUCUGAAUGCUCUUCCGGAUUUUAGCCCUGUCCAUAUUGGACUUUCACCAAACACGAGAGUAGCUGGCGAUAUUAAGGUGAAUAGCCAUUUUAAGACAAAGAGAGAGUUGAUGUUGAGGAUGAAGAAAUGGGCUUUAGAGUGGAAGUUUGAGUACAAGACUGUCUCUUCUAACAAGUCAAGAGUGCUUUUGAGUUGUGUUGAUGAAAAUUGCACGUGGAGGAUGCGUGCUAUCAAGCUACCUGUUUCAGAUUUUUUCGUUGUUAAAAAGUAUGUUCAUGAACAUACAUGCGAUACAACACACAGGAAAGCCAACCACAGACAAGCAUCUGCAAAGUUGUUGGGUUCUUUGAUUUCCAGCAAUUAUGGAGAAAAAAAGGAAGGUCUCAAACCGAAACAGAUUAUUGAACAGGUCAGGAUGCUGCAUGGUGUUCACAUCAAUUACAAACAAGCUUGGAGAGUGAGAGAAGAAGCUCAGAUUUUGGUUAGAGGGACUCCUGAAGACAGCUAUUACAAUUUGUCUAGGUGGUUGUAUAAAAUCACAGAAACAAACCCUGGUUCCUUGACUUAUCAACAUGUUGAUGCUGCAGGAAAGUUCAAGUAUGCAUUUGUGGCUUUUGGUCCAUCGAUAAGGGGAUUCUCAUUGAUGAGGAGAGUUAUUGCAGUAGAUGGUACAUUUCUGAAGGGAAAAUUCAAUGGGACUUUAUUGGCAGCUUGUGCUCAAGAUGGGAAUUAUCAUCUAUAUCCUCUCGCCUUUGCAGUGGUUGACGCAGAAAACGGCGCCUCUUGGAAAUGGUUCUUUAGAGGUUUGAGCCAGAAGAUCCCGGACGCUUCGGAUCUUGUUUUUGUAUCAGACAGGGCUAACUCCAUUUCUUCAGCGUUGGAGGAUGUAUAUCCCUUAUCUCACCAUGGAAUUUGCAGGAUCCAUCUGCUCCGCAACAUCACUCCUACAUAUGCGAAGACUGGGUUGCUACCUCUGGUGGAAAGCGCUGCUGAUGCCUAUACGUGUCACGAGUUCUGGUUAAUCUUCAAGGACAUAAAGGAUAAAUGUCCUGAAUUGGCUAAGUAUCUGGAAGAGUCUGAUUUUAGGAAGUGGGCACGAAGCUAUGCGCCUGCGAACAGGUAUAAUAUCAUGACUACCAACAUUGCAGAGUCUCUCAAUUCUAUGUUGAAGAUGCCUCGUGAGUUGCCCAUUAUCUCUCUCCUUGAAACUAUCAGAUUGACGAUGACCACUUGGUUUUUUGAGCGACGCGAAGCGGCUGCGAAACAUAAGCACCUGGUUACUCCAAAAGUUGUGCAGAAAUUGGUAUCUAGGUUAGGGGCCGCAAUGUUGUUGAAUGUGUAUCAAGUUGAUCGAAGCGAGUUUGAGGUGAAGGAUGAAACAAUGAAGUUUGUUGUUGACUUGGAGAAGCGGCAUUGCACAUGUAAUGUUUUCGACAUUGACAAGAUCCCCUGCAUCCAUGCCAUCGCUGCUGCUAAGCAUAUCAAGAGAGAUGAAAACCGUUUUGUUGAUGCUUCUCACUUGACAGAAACGUGGGCUAAAGCUUAUGCUGAAAGCAUACAUCCUGGUGGAGAGUUGUCAACGUCCACCUAUCCAGAGAAUAUUGAUGAACUGUCUUGCCCACCUCCAGCUACCAAAAAGAAAAGUGGACGCCCUCCUACAAAGAGAAAGAGAUCCGUUGGCGAGUUUGGGGUUCCUGGAUCUAAAUCUCAGUCCCACAAGUGCAGCAGAUGUGGCACAGGAGGGCACAACAAGAUCACAUGCCAGAGGCCUAUAGGAUGAAGUUCUACAUUUUUACAUUUUUAUCGAUUAUUAUUUGGAUGUUGGCUAUUUGAUGGUUACAUGAUAUGCACAAGACCAUAUACAUUUUUUCUUUUGGAACCCUAUCCUGAAUAAGUAUGAUUUCUUCCAACUUUUGUAAUAUACAACAUUAUCUUUUGAUCUCAUUUCAAUUUUUAGUUUAAACUUCUUUGCUAGAAAAAAACACAGUAAUAUUCAACUAUUCUGGAAUCCCAUCCAGAAAUACCGAGUUCAUUUCCAAGGUUUAUAAUACAACAUUUUCUGUUAAGAAUAAUUAUGUGGAAAAGUGUAACAGAUGAUUCUCCUCGGUCUAGCGGCUAAAACACCUAUCUGUCGAAAUUGUAACGCUUGACUCGACCCGGGUUCGAUUCCCCUACUAAUCAGAGUUUUUUAAAAAAUUUAAGUUGAAUAAAAAUAAAAGAAAUAUAUUACUUUACUUACAACAUGUAAUGACUGAAAUUAACUUGGCCUAGUGGCUACUACACCUUAGUUCCCUCUUUCCUCCUAGUCAUCUUCAGGUUCGAAUCCUAUGAGAUGUGUAUAUAUAUUUUUUUUUCCUCCAAAAUUUGCAAAUCACAUUAUCAAAUUUUCCAAAUGUGUAGAUAUUAAUCCUUAGUUUUGAUCUCAUUUCAUUUUUUUCUAGUUUAAGAAAGAAGCACACUAAUAUUCAUGUAUAUUAUUCAUGCAAACUCUGGAAGCCCAUCCUGAACUAUCUAAGAUCUUUCCAAUGUAUUUUACUAUAAAUUCAAUUAUGUGGAAGCAACUAACAGAUGAUUCUCCUCAGCCUAGCGGCUAAACCACGAAACCUAUGAUACCGAAACAUUUGUUCGACCCGGGUUCGACUCUCCUACGAGUAAUGGUUGAUUUUUUUUUUGUUCAAACAUAUAUCUCAGGAAUCGAAGAGUCUCUUCCAAACGACAUCAUGUAACUCAGUAACCGAAGAGUUUCUUUUCGUCAAGAUUGGCUGUUAUAUGAUUGGUUAUUUCAGUAACUGACUUCAAAAAUCGAAGAGUUCCACAAUAAUCAAGAGUUUAUUUUAACUGACUUCAAUAAUCGAAGAGUUCCUUUUAGUUCUAUAAAUAUAAGGGACGAUAUCAGACCUUUUAUUCACUCACUUCAUUUCGUCUGAUUUAUCCUUUUGCAAUACAAGUUAGUUUUCGAUUUUUCUCAUUUUCCAUUCAAUUCAUGAACUUUUUUCUAUUUCUAUUUUAUCGUAACAUCUUAGUUUCGAUUUUGUUGCAGGACAAAGUUUCAAUGGAAGGAAGUUCAAAGAAGAUGAUGAAGCGUCCCAUAGAGGAGGUUUACGGAUGUGAUGCCGCCGAAGGUUUCAAUAAGGGGAAGAAGGAAACUGUGGUACAUUACAGGGCUCUUCUUCGUUUGUCCAACGAAUACAGGCUAUCUGAGAAUGAUUGGAAUCUGGCAUCCAGCAAAGCAAAUUCAAUUGCUGUCCAAAUCGAGUUGCUUGAAGAUAUUAUCAAAGCUGAUGGAAAAUUUGAUUUAACUGCUGAGUUGGAGAAACUCAAAGAAGAGCACUCGGAAGCGGAAGGAAUGCUUGCUGAUGUGAAGGUCAAAGUCCCUGAUUGGGAUAAACUUGGCGAAAGUUGGCUGUGUCAUGAGUAAUUUCAUGUUAUCAUCUUCUCUUUUUAUGUUUUUAAGGACCACAUUAUGUUUGAUUUUCAGUUUUUAUUUUAAAUGAAUAAGUACUUUUGUUUCUCUUGUGUUGUUUCUUCAAUUAACAACCUAAAUAAAAAACUUGUUCAAUGUUUUUCACUAUUUUGUAAUGGUUUGGCCUAGUGUUCUUGUAACUUGGUUAUCUGAUUUGCUUAUUUGUUUUUGGAAAGCCAUCCUGAAUACAUAAAAUGAUAUCCAGAUUAUAUAAAUCUAUCGUCUGUGAAUAAAUAAGUUCACAUUUACUCUGUUAUCGAAUAUCCACCGUAGCCUAGUGGCAAGCCCUUCUACUCUUAGUGUACCCUUAUCACACAAUAAGCCGUGUUCGAUCCCCGUUGUGUAUACUCACAUUUUUUUCUGUUUUUAAUUAAAUAUUCAAAAGUUAUUUUCGUUUUAUUAUAGCUUUUGGCAAGUAUAACACCCUUGGUACAACGGCUGCACACUUUGAUUCAUCUUUCGAGAGUUCACGAGUUCAAUCAACAUCAGAUCACAUUCUUUUUCAUUUUUUUUUUGUAAACUUUAAAGGAAUUUGUUUUUGGAAAGCUAUCCUGAAUACCUAAAAUGAUAUCCAGAUUAUAUAAAUCUAUCGUCUGUGAAUAAAUAAGUUCACAUUUACUCUGUUAUCGAAUAUCCACCAUAGCCUAGUGGCAAGCCCUUCUACUCUUAGUGUACCCUUAUCACACAAUAAGCCGUGUUCGAUCCCCGUUGUGUAUACUUACACUUUUUUCUGUUUUUAAUUAAAUAUUCAAAAGUUAUUUUCGUUUUAUUAUAGCUUUUGGCAAGUAUAACACCCUUGGCACAGCGGCUGCACACUUUGAUUCAUCUUUCGAGAGUUCACGAGUUCAAUCAACAUCGGAUCACAUUCUUUUUCAUUUUUUUUUGUAAACUUUAAAGGAAUUUGCUAGGCUUUGGUGCAUUUUGCUUUCUCACUCUUUUUCUGGAAACCCAUCCUAAAAGUACCAUAAGCAUUUGACAAUUCAUCAAUACAUCCUAAAAAUUUUUCAAUAACAAUCUAAAUGAAAAAAACGUUAGGGAUAAUUCAUUACAAACUUAAACUUAAACGUUAGGGAUAAUUAAUAUCAAAGUAGAAAAACAGAGUAGAAAACAGAGUAGAACAAAUAUGACAUUUUCACUUCCUUUGACCUUCCUGGAAAUCUUUAUCCAUAAACUGGUCGAAGAUCUCACAACAUAGCUUGCUUCGUAAGUCUAUCGCAGUUUCAUCAUUUAUAUUAGCCAUGCUCUUCAAUCCCAGUGACCUGCAUUCCAGCAUCUUCACAACAAAAAUACCACAGUUGUAUGGAAAUUUUGUCUUUGGAAGCCCUUCUGCAAACUUAACUUCAAAUGGACUGAUAUCUUCGAAAUUAACCUCUUCACCAAGAAGUUCCAUCUUUAUGGCACUAAUCAACACUGUCAUAAAUACCCAAAAUUAUACAAUAAAUCAAUCACCAACAGACAACAAAAUGAAUAUGUAAAAAUGCAUCACAAGCACAAGCAGCAAGUGACAAACUUUUAUUUUCUAAAUUAGCUAAAAUUCUUUUUUCAGGAUACGCAUACUUUCACAAUCCUAUCCAUUAUCAAUGUAACAAUAUAAAUUAAACUGAUUUUUCUACACUGAAUGAUAAAAUUAAUAAAUCACAAAGAGUUUUUACCUGCCAGUUCUUGGAUUUGAUUAAGAGCACGUUUGAUAUUUGCUUUUGGAAGACCACAAUGGAAGAGUGUGAUUGUGUUGUCCAUCAAUUGUAUCUCCACCCCAAUAUAGUGAUAGCUCAACUUAUCUUCAAUGACACCAUAUAUAACAUCAACAUCUUCCAGCCAUACCUUCUUUGGAUGUAUUAAACCUUUCACAAGUUCGCCUACACAGCCCUCCAAUAACGUUUGUUUUUUCUUAUGUGGCUUCCUGACAGAUUCAUAAGCGUACCCAACCACUUCUAAGAAUUUGACUGGUACAAAGCAUGCUGCUGGAAGAUUGUUGUUGCGGAACCAAGCACCUUGCUCAACCCUCUUACAAUUUAGCAUUUCAAAUGCAACAUUUAUGUGCUGCCAAUGUAACAAUAUAGUUAGAAACUUCAUAUAGAACUGCUAUAACAUGGACAUCUAGCAUAGCUCAACUCAACCUCUUCCUAAACAUAUGACACAAUCAAAUAGAAGACAGAACAGAGUGUUGAUUACCUCUUUGUUGAGAUUGUUUUCUGCAUCGUCCAUUUUUUGAAAGAACUCUUUUUCAAUUUCUUUUCCAUUGAUAUAAAACGGUCUGUAGUUGAUAAAAUUAACUAGUAUCAAUCGAAACUUUUACAAAAUAAAUUAGGAAUAUUUAUGCGAGGACAAAAAGUUGCUUACACACGAUAUAUGCCCCGUAGAUCCAUCCAGUGUGCAAGCCUUGAAAACCGAGGAAAUUCAGGUGUCACAAAUGGAUCAAUUGGAAGGAUUACCUCAGGUGUUACAGGUAUAGGAGGGUUUCUAGGUCGUAUUGGCCUCUUCUCUUCUCGCUGUAGAAAAGGAAGCAAAUCUACUGGCUGAGCAUUUGCUUUCUUCUUCUUACCAACAUCAGGCUUCCCCUUUAAUUAAAAAUAAAGACAAAAAUUCAGGAUCGUUUUUAUCUUUAUACUUGAAUGCCUUCCUAAUAUGAAGUAAAAAUAUUUUUUAUACCUUUUUUGCAUGAUCGUCUUGACUUGGUUUCACACUCUUACCCUGCUUUACUUCCAUCUGUGAAACAAAACCGAUAUAUCAAACUAUUGACCUGAACUUCAAUUCAAGUGGAUCUUAUUCAUUUUUAUUACCUCUUUUGCCAUUUUCCCAACACCAUCUUCUGAUGGACCAGCUGCUUCAUUUUUCUUACAAGCGACAGCCUUCGCCUUCCCCUUUUUGAAUGACAAAAAUUCAGAUACAUUUAUAUCUUAAUUCCUAGUAUGAUGUAUAAAUAUUUCAUACCUUUUUAUCACCAUCUCCUUCACUUGGAUUCACACUCUGCGUCUGCUCUUCUUCCAUCUGAAAAUCAAUACCGAGAUAUUAAACAAAUGACAUUAUUUUUCAAUUCAAGUGAUCCAAGGCAUUUGUUUUACCUUUUUUGUCAUCUCCCAAACACCAUCUACCCAUUUUCUUGGUUUUCGCAUCUCAGAAUGGUGGAAGUAAAUUUGUUCUUUAGAAUUGUUCAAAGAGACAAAACACGAGCCAUCAAACAAAAUGACUUUAACUUUUCCAGCGCACCAGGCACCAUUGUCGAACGCCUCCACGUCCUGCAUUAGCUCAUAACUUUUCUUCGCUCCAGAUCUCUCAGGUGGUGGUUGAGGACGUAUUCUGUCAAUUGAUACACGUGUCUCAACACUCCUUUUCCUCUUCUUUUCGUCCAGAGACGGGACGGAGUACUCAACUUUCACCAUCUCAACCCCAUCAACCAAAUAUGUUGCCAACACAUUUCCUGGAUACCAUUUAUGACAAGUAUUGUCAUCUUGUGAUGAAAUCUCCACAUUUGCUCCGAUCUCAAAGGGAUUUUGAACUCUGCUUUCUACAUCCUGUGAUGGUUUAGAUUCAAGGAUAUCCAGUCAUUUUGAUAGUUGCUGUAUAUUUAUUAAAGGUUUUAAUGAAAGUAAUACCUUAUUUUGCUCUGUUAAAAGAUUUCUGCGAGCUCGGGUAUUUGGCUGUGUGUCGGAAAUGUUUGGUGAAAUGAUCUCAUUCAUAAGCUCGUGAGUCUCCUGAAUUCAGGAAUGGUUGAAUGAACACGUACAAGGGCUUCCAAAAAUUACUUGAAAAGUCCAAUUUUUUAAAGAAGGUACCUGCUGCGUCUGAAUUGGAGUAAGGACUGGAGUCUCAAUAUUCUGUUGAGCUAUUGGAGAACCAGGUGUCUCUUUCGUGAUCUCAUUCAUAGGCUCUCGUGUAUCCUGAAGUCAGGAAUGGGAUUAUGAACUCGUACAAGAACUUCCAAAAAUUAAUUUAAGUACAACCAAAUUCAUAAUUUUAUAAAUACCAACAGUUUUCAAAAUUAUACUUGCCUCAUUGUUAAGUUGUUCAUCUGCUUGAUCUGCAUUGGCUUCACCUUGUCUGGAAGCCGUCUCAUGAAAUGGAGUUGUGUCAGUCUGUGCAAGUACAACAAAAAUUAGGAAGGCAAUCCUAAAUAUGUAUAACAUCUUCCAAAAUUACUUGACAACUCAAAAAAAAAACUGAAUCAAGAACUAGAUAAACAUUAAUUUUAAUUUCCGAAAAAAAGUUACCUCAUUGUUUGGAGUUUCAUAUGAAGUAACUCUUUGUAGUUUCUCUAGUUUUGUCACACGUUCUUUAAUCUGUUUCCUGUCUUUUUCAAUCAAACACAAACGAUCGUUCAUGAUCCUUAAAUUAUCUCCCACCAUCUCGCUGAUUCUGUUGAUCUUUGAUUCCAAAGACUCCUCCUGAUACGAAGAAGAAGCUUGACUCAUCCCUCCAUUCCCAAACAGUAAAGAUGCUCUUCUUAUUUGUUCAUUAGCACCGUAUAGGUCUACUGACAUGUUUCGCCAAUCUCUAAUUUUAAACUUAUAACCUCUCUUGGAUAAAUCGGCCAUGUCAUCCAGAUCUUUAUUAGCUUCGUCUUCCAUGCAAACAUCAGCUUCUGGAUCAUUAGAAAUAGGAGGUAGGAUGCAUGUGACCUUAAGCUGAAACCAUAAAAAUAAUUAGCUUUUAAAUGGAGAAUCAUAAGGCAAAACAGAAACAAGAAAAAAAUAAUGUAAAAACUUACAUGAUCUUUGAUUUCAAUUAGGAGAACAUCUAUCAGCUGUGGAGAAGCUAUUUGAAGGUACUUCUCACACAAAAAUAUUGGGGUAGACGGUUGAACGCUCAGAAUAGGAACAACUUGACUGAAUGCAUACUGUAGCAAAGGUACUGACUCAAGUAUCCAUAUAAGAAAUGCCAUAGGGAAUCCUUGCAAAUCAUAAUUGUUUUUGUCGAGGCUUUUGUCGACAGCUCUCUGAAGUGAUUUUAACAGCAAAUUAUAAGCUGUUCUCCCCCAUGGGUAUGUCAUCAAGACAUCCAUAUCCUGCGCUAUUUUCACAUAAUCCAAAGUAAAAGUUGUGCCACCGUCGAGAAGGCUCUUCUGUAGUAGUAUGCUCUCAAUCAGGAGGAGCAUUGCAAGGCAGAAUCUCUCAUCAGAAGCAUCUUCUCUUGUGUUUCUGAGCUGCUUCUCCACGUCCUUUACUGUAUGAGUACGCCCUUUUAGGAAGUCCCACUUAAAUUUCUCGGUUUCCUCUCGUGGUUCUCUUGCUUCACCACUACAUUUCAAACCAGUCACCAUGUGGAAUUCUCUUAUAGAGAACCUCAUUGGCUGAGCACCAAAAUGGAACCAUGCUUCGUGUCUCUUCACUGUCUUGAUGCUUUUGGUGAGAACUGCGUGCACUAUCUUAGCUGAUAAUUUCAAAGACCUCUCUCCAAGCUUGAUCACCGGUCCCAAAAACGUCCCUCUUAUUCUGUUGAACUCAUCAUUUCCUAGAAUUUCCUUAACAGUUUUGAUAUAAGCAACUAUCGAGUGUUGGUUUAUCGAUAUCGUCUUCUCUGGCUCUGAUCCAAUCGGAUACCUCAGCUCAGGCAGUGCUAGUCUUAAUGGUAAUGGAUCUCCCAUCUUGUUUCUAUCCUGCGUAAACAAGAAAAAUUUUAUUUGUCUAAAUUAAUUAAAAUCCAAUUUUCAGGAAGGGUUUCCUGAAACAAUACAAAUCCUUCCUGAGUCUAUACACAUGCUUUCACAUGAACUAGAAUUCUACCAAUCAUAUUAGGUUAAAACGAGCAAGUCUAUACACAAGCAAAAACCAGGAGACCAAUCUCUCAGAAAGAAAACACACAUAAGGUUGAAUCUGCAACAUACCUUAAAGAGAUAGAGCUCUAGAAAUGGUUUUUCUCGGAGAAUAGAGAGAGCUCGCGUAAAAGAUCGAGAGAGAGAGAGAGUUCUGGAGAUGGGUUUUCGUCGGAGAUCGAGAGAUAUGGAGAUGAGAGAGAGAUUCGAGAGGCGGAGACGAGUGAGAUUCGAGAAGUUUGAAACGGCGAGAGUGUUGAGACGGCAAGAGUUUUGUCUUUUUUCAAUCGAAAUGUAUUGUUUUGGAAACCUAUCCUAUAUUAAUUGGUUUAAGUAUGCUUAUGUAAUAUUCUUUAACAGAUGAUUCUCCUCAGACCAGCGGUUAAACCAAGGCAUUUCAUAACUCAAAAGUCUCUCUAUCCCCGGGUUCGAUAUGUGGUGGAUUCAAAAUCAAUUUUAAUUUUUUUUUGUGUUACAGUUUGGAGUUAAAUAAAAUUAAAUGUAAUCCAUUAACAGAUGAUUCUUCUUGGCCUAGUGGCUAAACUCCCACACUAUCCAAAUACGCAAACUCUCUCCCUCUGGGUUCGAUCCUUUGUGGUUCUAAAUUUUUGUUGUCUGUAAACAUCACAAUUUUAAGCUUACCAUAUACAUGUCCAAUCCUUAGUAUAUAAUCUCAUUUCAUUCUUUUUUACAUUUGAAACACUUAACUUUUUUUCUGGAAACCCAUCCAGAAACAUUAUUUUAACCUUCCAAGAUAUAUGAUACCCAAAAAAAUACUUGAUAUCCUUCCAAUCUUUCUUAUGUAAUCAGACGCCAACAACAUAACAAAAUAAACAGUCAUAACUAAAACCGAGUCUUAACUAAAACAAAAAAUGUUUUCAUGCAUCAUUCUCAUUUCCCAAAGCUCUCAUCCACAAAUUGGUUGAAGAUCUCACAAGACAAGGUUCUCCUUAGCUCCAAUGCAUUGUCAUCAUUAAUCUUUGUCAUGUCUCCUAUCUUCAAUGACUGGCACUCCAGAAUCUUGACAAGAAAUAUCCCACAGUUGAAAGGAUGUUUUGUCUUGGGUAAACCUUGUGCCUGCUCAAUCUCAAAUGGAAUCAUCUUCACUUUAUCUACCUCAUCACCAGAAGAUUCCACCAGCAGAUUAGAAAUCAACACUGUCAUAUUUAAAAAUCAAUAUCAAGAUAGAAUCAGUUGAAUAUUUCAAACCAAGAAACAGUUGAAUACAUCAAAUACAAAUUGUUUAUACAUACCUGCCAACUUUUUCACUUGAGGAAUAUCAAUGCUGUUGCUUUCCUUUUGAAAACAAUCAUAUACUGUGAUUCUUUUCUUCUUCAAAUGAAUUUCCAUCCCAAUCCAGACAUUGCUUUUUUUUCCAAGAGUAAUCCCAUACACAACAUCAACAUCUUCUCCCCAUGUCUUCUCUGGAUAUACCUUCCCUCUCACAGUAUCUUUAAAUAAAUCGUUGAAAAUCUUUUUACCUUUGACCUUUUCUUUCUUGUAAGCCAAAUCAUCAGAGAGCAAGCAAUGCAAGAACUCCAUAGGUAGGAAGCACGCCUUUGGAAUCUUGUAGUUGUGGAACCAAGCAGCAUUCUCAUUUCUUCUGCAAUUUAGCAUUGCAAAGGCUCCAUCAAUGUGCUGCAAAAAAAAAAGGCAAACAUUAUCUAAUUUGUUACUAUAUAAAUCCUGAAACUAAACAAAUCCUUCCUGAAUUUUUUUUUAAAAAAAAAAGCUCAAGGCAAGAACAUAUGUAAACAAAUUACCUCUUUCUUAAGGUCCUUUUUUGCAUUUUCCAUGCUUUGAAAGAAAGAUUUCCUUAUCUUAUUAUCAUUGAUUGAUAGGGACCUGCAGUCGAUUAAAGAUUCAAAGGAAUUUACCAAACCUCUUAUACAUAAAUAUAAGAAUAUAUAGACAAGGACAGAAACAUGCUUACGUUUCAUGCAUGCCGGGCUUUAAUGUCAUCCAAUUUUGAAGCCUUGAAAGCUUAUGUUCCGCAGGAGUUGAAAACGGAUCAACUGCAGGUAUAAUCUCAGGUAUUACAGUUAAAGCCGGAUUUCUGUCAGACUUGAAUGGAGUUUUUGUGUCUCUAGAUCGUUUAGUCACUCUCUCGCUCCUUCUUAGGAAAACAUUAUCCAUUCCUGUAUUUUGUGAUGAGGCAGCAGCUUUCCUUUUCUUAUCAGGCUUCACCUUUAAUCAAACAAUAGACACCAAGCAAAAUAUUAUCAAAUUUGUUGCAAUCGGAAUUUCUGGAAACCAUUCCUGAAACAAAAAUGUAUGUAUAUCAAACAAUUCACGUGAAGUAUAAUUCUAGUUAUGAUUUACCUUAUCUGCCAUCUUCCAGACUCCAUCUUUCCAUUCUCUAUGAAUUCGCAAAUCUGAAUGUUUGAAUAGAAUAGUUUCCAUAGAAGUAUAGAGACACACCGAGUAUGUGUUAUCACCAAGUACCAUGCUAAUUUGUCCGCUGCUCCAGCCAUUGUUGUAAAAGGCUUCUACCUUAUCCAUCAUCUCAAAGGAUUUUUGGUCACUAGUUGGUGUUGCAGGACGUAUUUUGUCAGCCGUGAUAGUAUCCUGAAGUUUCUGAAGUCUAUUAUAUUGGUAUGUGAAGAGUGUCGUGUACUCAACUGUCAGCUCCUCUAGUCCUUCACACAGUUUAAGAUCAACAACCUUUCCUGGAUACCAUAUUUCGUCAUCAGUAGACAAAAUCUCAACCUCUGCGCCUAUUUGAAAGUGAGCUAUACGCCUGCUUACUUCAACCUAUUAAAAAUGAAGAUUCAGUAACAUCAGCGGUUUUAAAUUGUUAGAAUAAUAAUUAAAGAUCAAAUAUACUCGAUGCAUACCUCGUUUGUUUCUGAAAAAUCUAUAGCACUUGUCUGAAGAUGCUCUGUUUGCUGAGUAAUAGGCGGCAUCUUCGAAACAUAUGUGGAAACUAGCUCAGUAGUAGGUUCUGUAGUAUCCUUGAGAUUUUCUUCUGCUUGAUUCUGCUCUGAUGGUGUCUCAUCGGAUUGAUCUCCCUCACUUGUCUGAAGGUGCUGUGUUUGCGGAGUAAGAGGCUGUGUCUUCGAAACAUCUGUGGAAACUAGCUCAGUAGUAGGUUCUGUAGUAUCCUUGAGAUAUUCUUCUGCUUGAUUCUUUCUGCUUGAUUGUGUAUGCUCUCCUUCACUUGUAGAAAAAUAUUGGGUCGCAGUUUCUGUCUCACUCUAUAAGACAAAAGUAAAUGGUAAGAGUUAGUUGAAUAGAAAAAUAUUACAUAAACAUUUUAAAUAUUUCUUCUUACCAAAGCAUUCUUAUUUUCUUCAAUAACUAGUGCAAUUAGUGAAGACAAUGGAGAGGAAGGUGUGUGAUGCACAGCAUGCGUAUCCUCCUGUAAUAACAGUAAAAUAAAGGGUUUUUAGUAAUUAAACCCCUCAACUAAAGAUGAAUCGUAAAAAAAACCCUCAACUAAAAAUCCUGUGAAAUAAACCCUCAACUUUAGUUCCGUUAACAUAUGUUACCCUCCGUUUAAAAAACUGUGACGGAGGGUGACAUAUGUUAACGGUUUAUAAGUUGAGGGUUUAUAAUGUUGAAAACUUAGUUGAGGGUUUUUUUUACGAUUCAAAAAUAGUUGAAGGGUUUUAUCACUAAAAGUCAUUAAAGGGUUUUUAAGUUAUUUAUUAUUCAUUUAUACAUUGUUUUAGAUUGAUUUGUAAGCCUUUAAAACUAAUGUAUAUUAUUAAUACAUUAAUCUAUUAUAAAAUUAAUUUAUACAUUUUAAAUUAAUAAUUUUCAACACGAUUUACAACUUAUUAUAACUUCAAAAUAUUAAAUUAUUUGAUAUUUGGCAAUAGUGAUAUAAAAAAAAUUGUGUGUUUAUAUCGUCAUUUUCAAAUAUCAAAUAAUUGAAAGUUUCUAAGUUAUAUUAAAUCUUAAGUAGUGUUGAGGAUAAUUCAUCCAUGAAGUCAAUCUUUUUAUUUGGAGUAUGACGUACUUUUUCUUAUUUUCAUGAUUUUCGUCAUCAGACUCAUACUUUUCUAUUUUUCUAUAUUGUUCUUGAUUUAUUGUAUUACUUUAUGUUUCAAAUAUAUUAUUGAUCAAGAAAAUAAAAAUAUAAUGUAGUUAUUCAGAAAUCAAUGAUAAUAAAAAUAAUCAUGCAUUAUUUUGGAGGGGGGAGAAGUAUGAACCGGAUGACAGAAAUCAUGAAAAAAAAGAAAAAGUGCGUCAUACUCUAAAUAGAAAGAUUGACUUCAUGGAUGAAUUAUCUCGACACUACUUAAGACUUAAUAUAACUUAGAAACUUUUAAUUAUUUCAUAUUUGACAAUGACGAUAUAAACACACAAAUUUUUUUAUAUCACUAUUUCCAAAUAUCAAAUAAUUUAAUAUUUCAAAGUUAUAAUAAGUUGUAAGUAGUGUUAAAAAUUAUUAAUUUAAGAUGUAUAAAUUAAUAUACAAAUAUAUUAAUGUAUUAAAAUUUAUAAAUUAGUUUUAAAGGCUUAUAAAUCUUAAAACAAUGUAUAAAUGAUAAUAAAUAAUUUAAUAAUAUUUAAUGACUUUUAGUGAUAAAACCCCUCAACUAAAGAUGAAUCGUGAAAAAAACCCUCAACUAAAAAUCCAGUGAAAUAAACCCUCAACUUAUAAACCGUUAACAUAUGUCACCCUCCGUCACGGUUUUUUAAACGGAGGGUAACAUAUGUUAACGGAACUAAAGUUGAGGGUUUAUUUCACAGGAUUUUUAGUUGAGGGUUUUUUUUACGAUUCAUCUUUAGUUGAGGGGUUUAAUUACUAAAAACCCUAAAAUAAAAGAGGUAGUUAUGAAGAAGUUUCUACAAUUUAAAAUUCAAGUUGUACUUAUGAAAGACAUUUCUAUGCUUACCUUUUUAUUGUUUGCUGAAAUGAUCUCAGUCAAUGGCUGUGUAGCCUCAUACGUUUCCUCUGUUACCGUCUGCAAAAAAAACAAAAAAAAAGUCAGGUAUGGGAUCAAAAACACGUACAAAAGCUUUCAAACAUUACUUGAAAUCUCCAAGAUUUUUUGAACAUUUACCUGUUGUUUCUGAAUUGGAGUAAAAACUUGAGCCUCAAUACUCUUUGGAGAUAUUGGAGAAGAAGGUGUCUCAUUCAUUUCCAGUGUUUCUUUUUGCAAAACUUGAGUCUGAGCAGCAGGUGACUCAAUCACAAUCUGCAAAAAAUAUCAGGAAAGGCCAUCAUGAAUACAUUCAAUUAUAAUUUCUAGAGUAAAUAUUACCUCAUCAUCUGGUUUUCCUUCUUCUUGAUUAGUUUUGGGUGGCGUUUCAUCAGUAGAGGUUUGUGUUUCCCUCUGCCAAAAAUUAGAAAGGUCUAUAUAUGUAAAUCACCCAAAACUAAUUGUAAACUCCAACUGUAAUUGAGCAUAUACCUCUUUUGUCAGAUUAGGAGUAAAAACUUGAGUAUCAAGGGCAGGCGUGUCAUCCGAUGGCUCUCUCUCAAUCUGUAAAAAUUAUCACGAAGUCAAUCCAGAGUACGUUCUAAAGCUUCCAAACAUUAACUUAAAAAUCCAAGAUUUUUUUUUGACCAUGUACCUGUUGAGUCUGACUUGGAGUAUAAACGGGAGUUUCAAUACUCUUUGGAGCUAUUGGAGAAGAAGGUGUCUCAUUCAUUUCCACUGUUUCUUUCUGCAAAAAUUGACUCUGAGUAGCAGGUGACUCACUUGCUAAUUUCUCUCUCACAAUCUGCAAAAAAAUAUCAGGAAUGGCCAUCAUGAAUACAUUCAACUAUAAUUUCUAGAAUAAAUAUUACCUCAUCAUCUGGUUUUCCAUCUUGAUUAGGAUUGGAUGGCCUCUCAUCGGUAGACGUUUCUGUUUCUUUCUGUCAAAAAUCAGAAAAGCUUUUAUAUGUAAAAAAAAAUCACCCAAAACUAAUUUGUAAACUCCAACUGUGAAAACAAUAUCAUUGAGCAUAUACCUCUUUUGUCAGAUUAGGAGAGAAUACUUGAGUAUCAAGGGCAAGAGUUUCAUCAUCUGAUUCAUUCAUUGUCUCCUGCAAAAAUCAAGAAUGCAUUCAAGAAUAUGUACAAAAGCUUCCAAAUAUUACUUCAAAACUCAACAAUAUUUUAUUGGUUACAUACCUUAUGUGUCAAAUUAGGCUGUUGAGACAUUGGAGAUAAAGGCGUCUCACUCGAUUGUUGCGUGUAAUCCUGCAAAAAUCAGGAAGGCAUUCAGGAUUUUGUACAAGAAUUUCCAAAUAUUUUCUUAAAAAUUUUUGAGCAUAUACCUCAUUUUGUUGAGACUUUGGAGAUGCAGCUGAUUCAAUCAUUGUCUCCAGCAAAAAUCAGGAAUGCAUUCAAGAAGUACAAAAGCUUUCCAAAUAUUACUUCAAAACUCAACAAUAUUUAUUGGUUACAUACCUCAUGUGUCAAAUUAGGCUGUUGAGACAUUGGAGAUAAAGGUGUCUCACUCGAUGGUUGCGUGUGAGACAUUGGAGAUAAAGGUGUCUCACUGGAUCGCUGUUUGUCAAAUAUUAGGAAGGCAUUCAAGAAUAUGUACAAGAUCUUCAAAAAAAUACUUGAAAAUGCAAAUGUAAAAGAACAUGUUUUGAGAAUUUACCUUUUGUGUCACGUUAGUGGGAAAAACAUUGUUGUUUCCUUCCAACUCUGACACACGAGCUCUAAGAUGUAUGUUUUCUUCUUCUAGUAAUGACAUUCGAUCCUUCAUGCUCUUCAGAUUCUCCUCCAUUACCGUGAUGAUCCUGUUCACUUUUUCAUUUACUGAAUCCUCAUCAAUCGGAGUAGAAGCUUGGCCAGUCUCCUUAUUUGCCAUCAUUUGAAUAAGAGCAUCCAAUGUGUCAAAUGUGUCUACACACCUAUUUUCCCAGUCAUCGGCUGUAAUCUUGUACCCUUUCUUUGUUACAUCUUUCACUGUUUCCAGCUCGUCACUAUAUUUGUCUUCAAUGGAGAUAUCAUCUUCUGGAUCAUGAGGAAUAGAAGGUAGUAUGCAAUGGACCUUCAGCUGAGAGUAUUUAAAAAAAGACCAAUGAGAAACAUAUUAAAAAGAAGAAGCCAAAUAAACUGAGAAACAUAUACUUGGAAAAGCUUACCUUUGUAUCAGCUUCAACCUGUAAAACCCUAUCAAGUGAUGGAUUCUCUACCUCAGUGUAUUUUUCACACAAGUAAGUCGGCCCAGGAACCUCAACUGUUGGUACACACUUACUGAACUUAUCCCUUAGCAAAGGAAUCGACUCUAGUAUCCAAAGAAGGAAUACUAGAGGAUAACCUUGCAACUCAAAUUUGGAUUUAUUCUCCAAAUGAUUCGCGACAGCGUUUUGAAUUGACUUCAGGAGCACAAUGUAAGCCUCUUUUCCCCAUGGAUAUGUCAUAUCCUGUGCAUUUUUCGCAUAUUCCAAAGGAAAACUCCCUCCUUUGCUCUUCCGCAAUAAUAUGCUCUCUACCAGGAUGAGCAUUGCGAGGCAUAUUCUCUCCUCAGAAGCAUCUUCUCUUGUGUUUCUGAGCUGGUCCACCAUGUCACUUAACUUAUGACUACGCCCCUUUAGCAAUUCCCAAUUAAAUCUCUCGGUUUCCCUUCGUGGUCCUUCUAAUGCACCACUACAUUUCAAGCCUGUCAUCAUAUGAAAUUCUCUUAUAGAGAACCUCAUUGGCUGCGCACCGAAAUGGAACCAGGCUUCAUUCUCCUUGACAGAAACGAUGCUUCUAGUGAGAAUGGCGUAGACUAUCUUUGCUGAUAACUUCAAUCCUCUCUCACUGAGCUUCAUUACAGGUCCCAGAAAUGAUCCUCGGACUCUUAUCAUCUCAUCUGGUUUUAGGAUGCUUUUGACAAUAGAGAUAUAAUCUGAACCAGAGUAUUGGUUGAUUGCUGACUUUUCCUUUGGCUGUGAACCAAUAGGAUACUUCAGCUCUGGCAGUGCUAGUUUUAGAGGUACUGAAUCUCCCAUCUUGUUUCUAUCCUGCGUAAACAAGGAAAAAAAAAAUUUCAAACUUUUUUGGAAGGCUUUCCUGAAAUAACACAACAAAUGCUUCCUGAAAUUCUUAUAAACACUAGACAGUUUCACAAGCAACAAAAGACUCAUAAGCAAAUUCAAGACCCUAUCAAAAAUAUCAACAUUCCUAAUCAAAACAAGACUCCAAGCAAAAAAGUUUCAAAAUGUGUUACCAUCCGAGUUUCAAUUUUCAACAUUUAAUAGAUGCAGCAACAAAUGCUUUCUGGAAAUCUUCUAAAAACAUUCAAUAGAUGCAGCAAGAGACAACAAACUUUUAUUUUAUAAAUUUGUACAAACACACAGAAGGUUGAAUCUGCAACAUACCUCAAAGAGAUGAAUUAUGCUCCAACAACUUUGUGUUCCCACAAUUCAAAAGUCUUUCAUUUGCUUCGCUGGUUAAUAAGAAAGAGUAACAAACAAAUCAAAAUCAAAACGCAAGCUUCCCAAAUUUUAAUUCAAAAAACCUAAUUUUAAAAAGCUACAUAGUGAUUUGUGUCCGAUUUUGAGAGUAGAGAGUGUGACGCUGAUGAUUAGAUAGCCGGAGAAGAUGAUUAGCGAGCCGGAGAAGAUGAUUAGCGAGCGGGAGAAGAUGAUUGGCGAGCCGAAGAAAAUGAUUAGCGAGCCGAAGAAGAUGACUAGCGAGCCGGAGAAGAUGAUUCCCGAGCCGGAGACGACGAUUCCCGAGUCGGAGAAGAUGAUUCCCGAGCCGGAGACGACGAUUCCCGAGUCGGAGACGACAGUGCCGGUGAGGGUUUGAAGAUUCCAGAGAGGAGACGACAGGAUUCGCGAUCGAAGGAAAUGAAAUGUUUUUUUUUUAUUCUUAUAACAAAGGGUAUAAGGGUAAAUUACCCCUUUAAUGAAACCUAUUUUUGUGACUUUCUCCUUCUAGUGCUAUUUUUGGGACAUAAACUUCAAAAGGUGCUAUUAUUGACAAUUGCCCUUAACUAAAUAUAAAGUAUAAUAAAGAGAAAUACUCAAUAUAUAGAAAAAUAAAUAAUAAGUAAAUAUUAUAAAUAUAUAAAUAUACGAAUUAUAUAUACAAUAAUAAGUAAAUGCAUAAUUUUUAAAAAAAUGAAAAGAGUACAUUAAAUAUUAAACAUCUAUCUUAAAAUGUAAAAUAUAGAUUUAAAUAAAUAGAAAGUAUAAGAAAAAGAAAUACACAACUUAAAAACAAUGGAAAAAGUAUAUUAUGAUUUAAACAUCUAUCUUAAAAUGUAAAAUAUAGAUAUUACGCAAAUAGAAAGUAUAAGAAAAGGAAAUACACAAUUUAAAAAAUGGAAAAAGUACAUUAGUAUUUAAACAUCUAUCUUAAAAUGUAAAUCUAUCUUAAAUUAUAAAAUUAUUUGAAAAUAGAAAGUAUAAGAAAUAGAAAUACACAAUAUAAAGAAAAAUAAAUAAUAAGUAAAUAUAUAAUAUAAGUAAAUACCCAAUUUAAAAAAUGGAAAAUUACAUUAAGAUUUAAAAAUAUAUCUUAAAAUUUAAAAUAUAGAUAUUACGUAAAUAGAAAGUAUAACAAAUGGAAAUAUACAAUUUAAAAAAAAAUGGAAAACGUACAUUAAGAUUUAAACAUCUAUCUUAAAAUGUAAAAUAAAUAUAUUAUGUAAAUAAAAAGUACAAGAAAUGGAAAUACAUAUACAGGAAAAUAAAUUAUAAGUAAAUAAUGUAAAUAUAUAAUAUAUGAAUUAUAUAUAAUAAUAAGUAAAUACACAAUUUUUUAAAAAAUGGAAAAAGUUCAUUAAGCAUUAAACAUCUAUCUUAAAAUGUAAAAUAUAUAAUAUAAGUAAAUACACAAUUUAAAAAAAAUGGAAAAAGUACAUUAAGAUUUAAAUAUAUAUUUUUAAAUAUAAAAUAUAGAUAUUACGUAAAUAAAAAUAUAAGAAUUUUUUUUUUAAAAAAAGGAAAAAGUUCAUUAAGCACUAAACAUCUAUCUUAAAAUGUAAAAUAUAUAAUAUAAGUAAAUACACAAUUUAAAAAAAAUGGAAAAAGUACAUUAAGAUUUAAAUAUAUAUUUUUAAAUAUAAAAUAUAGAUAUUACGUAAAUAAAAAUAUAAGAAAUGGAAAUAAACAUUUUAAAAAAUGGAAAAAAUACAUUAAGAUUUAAACAUCUAUCUUAAAAUGUACAUAUCUCUUAAAAUGGUAGUAAAUUAUAUAAAAAUUGAAAUACCACAUUAAACAAAAAAAAACAAAAAUUUAUAGUUUUACAUCAAGAAAAUCUUUAUAAAACUCAUUAUUCCAUCAACCUCACCCUAUCAAGGAAAACUUCAAAGCACUCGAGCAAAAAAAUGGUUCCACCAUCAACUUUUGCCGUCCCAAAAACCUUUAAUGACCUUGAAUGAGAUUUUUUAUAACAACGAACUUUUUGUUAGGUGGAUUCAUUGUUGGGAAACCCGCAACUUCCAAAAGCCAAACUUAUUUAUGGGAAUUGAAUUGCUUUUCAUAGACUCAAAGUUAUUCUUACAAAUUUAAUUAGUCUAAUCCAUAAUUUUAUUGUUAAUAUUCAUAGUAACUCUUUCAUGAUCAAACUAUUACAGUUAAUAACCAUUCAAGCGUUUAUCCCGAAACACUUCCUUCCUCACCGAAUCAGGUAUUGGUUCAUGUUGGUUUAGUAUUGUUUUUGGUUUAUUAACCGGUUUAGGAUGGUCCUAUUGUAAAUAUAAUUUAAAUUGGUUUAGCAUAUAUUAUGCUUAAAAUAACUUAAAUUAAAUAAUAGUAAUGUUAUGCUUAAAAUAUAAUUUUAGAGAGUUUUCAAAUAUAGUUUACAGAACAUUAUAGGUGAUGAAUUUAAUUUACUAAAUUCAUUUAUUUCUUAAAACUAAGUUUUUUUUUUUAAAAACAUACUGAGUUAUAAAUAUCAAUGAUGGAUUGGUGUGUAUAACAUGAAGACAAAAUAUAAAUAUUUGAUUUUCAAGAUAAGAAAUUCAGUUUUUAUUCAGUUACUCAAUAUAUAAUAUCUUAAAUUAUUUUUUUUUAAAAUAUACAUAAUUUAUAUAUAUAUUAAUGUUCCAAACUUAAACUAUUAUAUUAUAUAUGAAUAAUUUUAAAAAUAAAUAUAAUUUCUGAUUUUAAAAAAAUAAAAACAAUAAAUUGUUAUUUUCAAAUAAUGGAUGUAAUUUACAUAAGAUACGUUUUGAUAUAUCAUUAUUUUCUAUUUCCAGAAAACAAUAAAUUGUUAAACAUCAAUAUCAUCUAGGUUAAGUAUACGAAUAUCACAAAUUCAAACAUCACAAAAAAUAUUUACAUAAAAAUUAUAAUACAAUAAUUUAAUCAAAAAAUACAAUUAAAAAAAAAACAAUAUUCAAAAGAACAGUUAUCCCCUAUAUAUUAAAAGAGAAGCAUUACAACAUAUUUUUGUAGCCACAUGUCAUCACCACAAUCAUUCUUAGAAUCCUUAGAAAAAUAUGUUGGUCCAUAUAAAUAUAUAAUAAGUUUUUUAUUAAACUAACCAUAAAUUAAUCAUAAAUGUUCUUCAUUGUUUUCUUAAUUUUGGACCCAUAAGAACUAUAAGUACUACAUUCCGUUUAGCAUAGUUUUCAAAAUUGGUUUUCUAUUUUUAUACUUUCACACCAAAUGUUACAUUCUCAUUUCAAUGAAUAAAUUCUCAUCGCUUACAUGUGUUGUCCUUAUGCUUCAAAUUAAUAGUUAUAACUUUAUCUCCUUUAAAACAGCAAUGAACAAUCUUCUCAAAAACCGUAAUGCACACUUUACUUGGAACCUAAGAUACUUCAAAUAAGUUUGUAGGUGUUGAGCUGAGUGACAUAAUAUACACGCCCACACACAUAAGAGUCCAAAUUAGAGAAACACACAAUUCACCAACAAAUUAUGGACUACUAACUAUAAAAAAAAAUACAAUAAGAAAGUCCACAGACACCUCAAACAUAAUCCCUACAAACCCUAAAACCAUUUAAGACCAUAAUGUCAAAAAAAUACACUGCUUUUGCAAAAACGAACAAAAUACAACGAAAGUAUACAAUUAUAUAAUUACAUAGAACACAUGACUGACCCUAUUUCUUAUAUAAUAACAAUUUAUAUAAAAUAUAUAGUCUAACUAUUUUAAUUAUUUUUUUUAAUUCUCAUCCCGCCCGUAGGGCGGGCCGACCCUAGUAAUAUUAUCAAAGUCCAAUUCGGUAAGGAGCAAUCCUUUAGACAAGGAGUUUAAGGAUUAAGUCCUUAGUGACGUGGCCGCGUCUCAUUGGAUAGAGAGAAAUAUAUAUAUCUAUGUAAGGAUUCCUAAUCAGAGAUCACUAUUGAACACACCAUUUUUACUAGAAUCAUUAACUAUUCAAACAAAAAAAAAACUAAAAUAAUGGUAAGGACUCUAAGAAAGAGUCCACCAUUGCAUAUGCUCUCAUGUUCUCAGUGGAUCCAAAUUCGUCCUUCAUUGACGCUGUUUUGAUAUUAGGUUAUGACGAAGAGUAGAUCAAUUAAACUAAAACGCUGGUUUGGUUUCAGAAAGCAAAACCUUUUGAGAAAACGACUUAUUUCCCCUUCGAAACUAUCAUAUACCAAUAGAUCCACCUGAAGUUUAAUUUGACUUCGAUUUAAGUUUACAUUACCCACAGUUCUCUUUGCUCAUUGUGCCUCAACGCAUUCUCUCUAUUGUAUUAAACAGAUCAGUGAGCCGAUGCUUUGUCCUUAUUCCCAUGUGGAUACAAUUUUUAGGUCCUAUUAAGGAGACGCGCCCCAAAUGUGACUAUGAGUCGAACCAGAAUGAUAUACGAUUCCCAUCUUCACUUCUAUGUGGUGACCAGGUCAUUCUGGUUCGACUCAUGGUCAGACAUGUUUGUUACAUCAGCCAUUCUUUCCAAUAAGAUUGUAAAUGCGUAAUCGUAUGUUACAUCAGCCAUAUGAAUAACUAAGAAAUAUUAGAUUCUUCAUUGUAAAUGUAAUAUAUUCGGUUUAUGUAGACAGGUCUUUUAAAAAUAUAUUGGAAUAUUAAUCGAUUGAGUGAGUUAAAUUAAGAAAAGGACAAUAAGCAUGAGCACACAUACCAACAAGUAAACCUUAUUAUCACUUCCACAAGAUAAGCCGUCUACAAGGAAACAAACUAAAUCACGAGAAAUACAUUUUUAAAAAGUGCUAUAAAAUAAUGAUAAACUCAUACGAUUCAAUAUAUUAUAUAAAUACUACUUUACGUCGACGAAACUCAAAAAGAAAACUGGUUUAUGAUAUGGCUCCUAUCAUCCUAAGAAAUAUUUAUACCAUCGUACCCUCUGAACCUACAUGGGCCGGUUGUUUUCCAUUAGCCGAAUGGGAUCUAGUUGGUACAAUAACUCACGUUCCUACCGUUUACUUCUAUAACAAGCCAUCUGAAUUGUUCCAGGGCAAUGUAGUCGAAACCCUAAGAAACUCGUUGAGCCGUGCGCUUUUUCACUUCUACCCUAUGGCCGGCCGUCUUAAGUGGCUCCCUCGGGGGCGGUUAGAGCUUGAUUGUAACGCGGAGGGAGUGUCAUUCAUGGAAGCCGAGUCCGAGGCAAAACUUUCAGAUUUCAACGAUUUCUCUCCAACGCCAGAAUUUGAGAAACUUGUUCCGCAAGUAAACUACAAACACCCUAUUGAAACGAUCCCUCUCUUCUUAGCUCAGGUCACCAGAUUUAAAUGCGGCGGAAUAAGCCUCGGCGUCAGCAUUUCACACGCGGUGGUCGACGGACAGAGCGCGUUUCACUUCUUGUCUGAAUGGGGAAGAAUCGCUCGCGGGGAACCUCUUGAAACCACUCCAUUUCUCGACCGCAAAAUCCUCUGGACUGGUAAACCGCUUCCGCCGUUUGCCUCCCCACCUCAGUGCGAACGCAAAGGGUUUGAACAGCCACCGUUGCUGAUCGGAGAAACGGACAAUGUAGAAGAAAGAAAGAAGAAAACAACUGUAGAGAUACUAAAACUUAGCAAAACUCUGAUUGAGAAGCUUAGAAGCAGAGUGAAUACAAGUGAAUACGCUGACCCAGCUAGAGGGUUUACAAGGUACGAGACGGUCGCGGGACAUGUGUGGAGGUGCGCGUCUAAAGCACGUGGGCACUCCCCAGAACAACCCACGUCUCUGGGAAUCUGUGUAGAUACUCGUAGUCGGGUGCAGCCACCUUUACCACGCGGCUACUUUGGCAAUGCCACUAUUAAUGCGGUCGCAAGAAGCACCUCAGGUACGUUUUGUCAAAUUUUAAAAGUUGUUUAAUCUAAUUUUUCUGCUGCUAUUUUGUUUUUGUUUUUGCUGAGAUUUGUUCUAGAAAUAAAUUUUAAUUAUUUAAAUACUUUGAUAUUUAUAUCAUAUUAUUGAAAAGGAAAAUACAAAACAAUAUAUUAUAGUUAUUUUUGUUACAAAAUUUAACUAUUUAAUGUAGUAAUUUACCAAUAUUAUUAAAUAAAAAUAUAAUUUAAUAUUUUAAUAUUCAGUGUUGAGAGAAUAUAUGAAAAUACAAAUAUAUUACUUUUAAUAUUUUAAACUAAUUAAUAACAUUAAUUUAAUUUCUUAUUAAAUAAAAAUAAAAUAUAUUAUUUAAUUGUUUGGUGCAAUGAAUAUUGUUCACCAAGUUUGGUGUGAUACUAUUCACAAAAUAUCAAAUUUAGUGAUACGACUUUAUCUAUAUAAUUUCUUGAGAGUAAAAUUACACUAAUUCGCUUGAGGAAAAUAAACCCAAUAUAGCGAAACCCCUCUGGCUACACAAAUAUGAGCUAUUGCUUUCAGAUCAUUUGAAUAUCCAGGAGAGGGUCUAUCUGUGGGCUGUACCUCCACCCGAGGAUUAAGUCUGUGUCUUUAAUAGACCCGGGUUUAAUCCUUUUAGUUUACAAUAAAAAAAAAUUACACAAAUUUGGUUUUUUAGUAUUAUUGGAGUUGGCCUAAACAAUAAUACAUCACCAUCUCAAUCAAUCUAAUCGCAGUCAGUUAAAAAUAUUUUCAAUCGGACAUGUAAGCUAGCAUUAGAAAGAAUAUACUUCUUGAACAUUUACAAUAGGAAUUCAAAUAUAGAUGAAAGAACUCUUGGUAGCUUAUCAUGCCCGUUUAGUCAGACCAGUCUUAUUUUCCCCCGAUUCUGGGAGUUUAAUGUAGCUAACUAAUUUCACACUAAUAGGCAUUUAGGGAUAUCAUACAAUGUGAUUUCUAUAUAUUUCGAUAAUUUUCUUAUGCAUAUAGGUGAACUCAUAUCGAAUGGGUUGGGUUUCGCGGCCGAAAAAAUUAGUGAAGCCAUAAAGAGUGUGACAAACGAAUACGUAAUGACUGGAAUAGAGUAUCUAAAAAACCAUGAGGAUCUGAAGACGUUUCAAGAUAUACAUGCGUUGGGCAGCACGGACGGUCCAUUCUACGGAAACCCUAAUCUUGGACUUGUGAGCUGGUUAACUCUACCAAUGUACGGCCUUGAUUUCGGGUGGGGAAAGGAGGUCCACAUGGGACCAUGCACGCAUGACGGCGACGGGGGCUCUCUGCUACUACCUGAUAAAAAUGAUGACGGCUCGCUGAUUCUCGCCACGUGUCUACAGGUAGCUCACAUGGAGGCCUUCAAGAAACACUUAUAUGAAGAUAUCUAGGGUUCUAUAUAUACACACAAGUACUCAUAUAUAUAUAUAUAUAUAUAUAUGCAUUUCAUUUCCAUUUGAAUAAGGAUUCAAGUAGGGAUUCUACUACUGUUGGUGUGAUUCUUCAUUUGUAAUAACACAUUUACACAUAUAUAGUUAAACUUUAUAUUUUUGCUUACUAAGUAUGUGGUAUAUAUUGAAUUUAGAGAUGAGUUUGUCUAUAUCAACAGUUGGAAUGUUAGAAAACCUUUCUUAAAAAAAAAAAAAAAAACAGUUGGAAUGAUCUUAAUGCAUUUGACUAAGAACGGGUUAUUUGUCAAAUCCAUAUAUAGCUGUUUAAGACUAUCAUUGUAGCAAUCCAUCAGAAGAUUUAAUUAUGGAACGUAUGUUUGUGCGAUAGCUAAAAUUGAGACAAAAAAUAUAUUGCUAAAAUUCAAUUAGACCAAUUAUAAUUUGUGAACAUGAUAGCUUUUCAAGCCUUGCUAAUAGUAUUAUUUAUUGAGCAUAUAUAGGCCUCAACUCGUGGAUAUAGUUUGAACAGAAUAGCAGAAAAAUGAUUACAAUUUAUAAUUGUAAGUUAUAGGACUGAAUGAAUCUUUAUUAACACCGUAGAAGAGUAUUUAUACAAUAUACAAGGUAGGGUAUUUCUGUAUUCUACUGUAUUUACAUAAUAGUCCUUUGAGGACUUCUAUAUUGCCUUAUACGCCCCCUCAAGAUGGUGGAACUCUUGUGACACCAAUCUUGCGACAAAGUGUUUCAAACGGUAUUCUUGGGAGAGGUUUGGUGAGGCCAUCGGCUAGCUGAUCUCGUGUGGACACAUGAGUGACUCGAAGAACUCCAUUCUGUAUCUGUCCUCGCACAAAGUGAUAGUCGAUGGCGAUAUGCUUCAUUCGCGAGUGGAAGACAGGAUUUUGACAGAGAUACGUUGCUCCAACGUUGUCACAGUAGACAGUCGGAGUUGCAGUGAUGUUGAUGCCGAGUUCUGUUAGGAGUGAGCAUAUCCAGCGUAGUUCCGCGGAGGUAUUGGCGACGGCCCUGUAUUCCGCUUCCGUCGAAGAUCUUGCUACACUCUUCUGCUUGCGUGACGACCAAGAAACCGGAUGACUGCCUAGAUAGACAAUGAAACCGUUUGUGGAUACAUAGUCGUCUGAGUCUCCGGCCCAAUCUGCGUCUGAAAACGCAUGUAUGGUUGAGUUCGGUUGCCUCCGCAGAAAGAUGCCGUGGCUCAAUGUUCCUGAUAAGUACCGCAAGAGGCGUUUGACAGCAAGCCAGUGGUCAGAGGUCGGCUUAUGCAUGAAUUGAGAGAGUCGGUUGACUGCAUACGAUAUAUCAGGCCUGGUGAGUGAAAGGUACUGUAGGCUCCCAACAACCUGUCUAUACUCUCGAGGAUCUGCGAGAUGAGUACCGGACUGAAGUGUUAACUUCGGUGAAGAUGCCAUGGGAGUGGAGACAGGUUUCGAAUGCAGCAUAUUAGUCUUGGUAAGUAAGUCUGUGACAUACUUCCGCUGCAUCAGAUGCAUUCCAUCUCGGGUUCGAAUGGCUUCUAUCCCCAAGAAGUAACUUAAGUUUCCCAUAUCUUUAAUGGAAAAUUUCUGAGCAAGAAGAUCAAUGACUCGUUGCACCAGGGACGUAGAGGUUCCCGUGACAAGAAUGUCAUCAACAUACACCAGCAGGUAGACAAAGUCCUUUCCGUGCUUCAUGAUGAACAGCGAGGUGUCAGAUAGUGAAUUGAUGAAUCCUGUCGAGAUGAGAAACUUGUGAAGUUCAGAGUACCAGGCUCUAGGCGCUUGUUUUAAGCCAUACAGUGCCUUCCUUAAGCGACAAACCUUGGUGGGAUUAUCAGCAUCGACAAAGCCCGGGGGUUGACAGAUAUAAACUUCUUCUUGUAGGUGACCUUGGAGAAAAGCCGUGUUGACAUCAAUCUGUCUCACAGGCCAGGAGUUGUUGACUGCGAGUCCAAGAACAAUCCUUAUCGUCGUAGGUUUGAUUACCGGACUGAACGUAUCAGUAUAGUCAAUACCAGGUUGUUGAUGAUAGCCCUUGGCGACCAGUCGAGCUUUGUAGCGGUCAAUCUCUCCGUUGGGAUGAUAUUUGAUUGUGAAAAUCCAGUGACAGCCCACAAUAUUCAUUCCCUUACACGCAGAUGCCAGAUCCCAUGUAUGAUUCUUAACCUGUGAGUUGAACUCCGCAAGCAUGGCUGCUCGCCAUUUGGGGUGUUUCAUAGCUUGUUGCCAGGUUGUGGGGAUCCAGCGCGGGUCUGUUUGGAGAUUGACAGUAAGAUUAUACUUACUAACUGGUUUGACGAUAUUGUUCCUUGAUCUCGUUGUCAUGGAGUGCCGUUGAGGUGGAGCAGGCACUGUAGUUGUCGUUGGUUCAGCAUUGGGUGUGACCGCUUGUGUCGCAUCACCAGUGGGAGGCACUGUAGUUGGGACCUCUGGUUCUGACACGUUGGUCGUCGAGUGAUGUGAAGACGUUGGAGACGGUGAUGGUGUUGCCUGCGGCAAAGUUUCAGAGCUCGGUGGUGAGCUCUCCGGAGUCGCCGUUGGCGAUUGUACGAGUGGUGUCGAGGAUGGGAUGGUUGUGUGUGGUUGAUAGGGAAGGUUCGGGUCGUUGGUUUCUGGGUGUGGGCUUGUGGGUUGUUGUCUCAGCUGUUGGUAAGGAAACAAAGUUUCAUUGAAUCUCACAUGGCGGGAUGUAUACACUCGGUCUGUUGUGGGGUCAAGGCAGUAGUAAGCACUCUGAGAUAAUGAGUAACCUACAAAGACACAAGGUGUGGACCUGUGUUCGAGUUUGUUGGGUGCGUAAGGCCUGAGCCACGGAUAACAUAGGCUCCCAAACGUUCUCAGCUUGCCAUAGUUGGGUGUGGUUUGAAAAAGUUUUUGGAAUGGUGAGGUAUUGUUGAGAACAGGGGUGGUGAGGCGGUUGAUUAGGAAUGUAGCUGUGGCAAAGGCUUGUGGCCAGUAUGUGAGGGGCAUUUUGGCUGUGGAGAGAAGUGCCAGACCAGUUUCGACUAUGUGUCGAUGCUUUCUUUCUGAUAAGCCAUUAUGCUCAGGUGUAUGUGGUGGGGAUGUAAGGUGGGAGAUGCCAUGUUCGGCUAGGUAAGGGCGUAGGGCUAGGAACUCGCCGCCAUUGUCCGAGUAUAGGUGUUGUAUUUUGGUUUUGAAUCUGGUUUCAACCAGUGGUUUGAACUGGAUAAAGAUGGUUUUGACUUGGGAUUUAGCUGUAAGCGGAAACAGCCAGCUAUAGCGGGUGAAAUGGUCAACAAAGACAACAUAGUAUUUGUGGUUUUGGUGAGAUGUGACUGGAGACUGCCAGACAUCAGUGAAGAUAUAUUGAAGAGGUGUAGUCGAGUGUAUGGAACUUUGUUGAAAGGGUAAUUUAUGAGUUUUAUUGAGGAGGCAUUCAUUGCAAAGAAAACCACAAGAAGAAGUAGUGUUUAGGCAAGGUAAAGAAAACUUUGAAACAACAAACUUAAGAGUAGAUAAAGAAGGGUGUCCAAGCCGGUUAUGCCAUCGGUCUAGUGUGGUUUUGGUAUCGGGGUAGGUUGCGUAGGCAGAUGGGUUAGGGUUCGGCUUGGGCCACUCGUACAGCUCAGCCUUCGUGCGACCUUGGAGUAACUGCGCCCCCGAGCUGAGAUCCUUCACCUGAAAAUGUGCAGGAAAGAAUUCAACAGAGACACCAUUAGCAUUGCAGAGCCGAUACACAGAUAUCAGAUUCUUAUUGACAUUCGGAACACAAAGGAUAUCAUCUAAUUUGAGUGGUUUAGAUGAAGUAGGAAUAGAUAAAGAACCAGUGUGUGUUAUCGGCAUGGUUGAGCCGUCUGCAAUGGCCACUUCUUCUCCUCCGUUGUAUGGUUGGUGCAGUGCGAGGUUGUUAAGGUCGGAAGUGAGAUGAUGUGUAGCUCCACUAUCCAGUAGCCAUGGAGUUGUAUUGUACGGCGAGCUGGAGAUGUAGUUGGCACGUGGCUGCCACGGGUUUUGCGCGGGGGAGAACUGAUGUUGGACCAUCGACUGUCCUCCUGAUGCUUGGCGUUGAGGGCAGGUACGUGCACUAUGGCCAUAGGUACUGCAAAUUUGGCACCGGCCUUGGUAACCCCGUGGUGCAGUCGUUUGCGAUGACUGGUUGCUGUUCGGACCAAACUGUUGCUGCUGCUGCCAUGUCUGAUUGCCACGAUAGCCUCCACGACGGUUGUUGUUUGAUUUGUUGUUGUGCGAACCUCUGUAGUUCGUGUAGUUGGCUGAGACAGGCGCAGUCGAGACAGGUGGAAUGGCAGCCUGCAGUUUAGCUUCUUGAUUAAUGAGUUUCUCAUGUAACUCAGCAAGCGAAGGCGCGGUAUCACGACUCUCAAUCUGAUCAAUCAGUGUCUUGUACUCAUCUGGAAGGCCAGUCAGUACCCGCUCAACCUGAUCUUCAUGAUCCAUCGGCUUACCUAGGAGAGCCAGUUCAUCAAAACGAGUUGUAAGUCCUUGAUAGUACUCGUUGAUCGACUUGUUUCCUUUAGUCCAGUUGUCGAUCUGUUGUUUCAGCUGUUUGAUGUGUCCUCUGCUUGGUUUAGCAUAGGUGGAGCUGAGAGUUGUCCAGAUCUCCACAGCCGUGUUGGUGGUAGAGAGGAUUGGUUGAAUGGUAGUGGUUAUCGCGCCGAGGAGGCCGCUGUAGAUAAGCUUGUCUUGACGUUUCCACAGCGCGAAGGCAGGGUUGGGGGCUUCCCCUGUUUCCGUCGUGAUAGUGGCUGGAGGGAUGACCGUAGAGCCAUCAACAUGUCCGGCGAGAUCAUAUCCAUCAAGCAAGGCGUGAACUUGGCGAUUCCACAUCAGGAAAUUGGAGGCGGUGAGCUUUGUCACAUUUGUCAUGUUGACGUUGAGCAGAGUAGGGUUGGGGGAGACGGUUAUGGUCUCGUUUCUGAAUGCUUGAUUCUCAGACAUGUUCGACAUCGUGAGUUGCAAGGAAGAAGAUGAGAAAAUUUUGAAAAAUUUAAGAUGGCGGCUGUUAGGUUAUCACUGCUCUGAUACCAUGUAAGUUAUAGGACUGAAUGAAUCUUUAUUAACACCGUAGAAGAGUAUUUAUACAAUAUACAAGGUAGGGUAUUUCUGUAUUCUACUGUAUUUACAUAAUAGUCCUUUGAGGACUUCUAUAUUGCCUUAUAAUAAUACCGUUGGCACAUUAUAGCUAGUUUCAUUUUGCUAAAUUAGUUUGAAGGGCCUUAUCAUUCUACAACCUGAGGAAUAAGAUCAUUUGAUUUUUCUUUACUAAACUGCGGAUCAUUUUCCAACAUUUGAGUGACGGACAUAUAUUUUUUGUUGAUAAACUAACAUUUGAUCACCGGAGAGAAUCUAAUCACUGAAGCAAAUGAGAUACCAACGGUCUUCAGACCCGCUCAUUAUCCCAAUAUCAGUACUGGGAACAUCAGUUUUAAGUAAAGCAUUUCUAUGGGUAUCUUCGGCCCUUUAACACCUCUAUCCGUUAUUGUUGUUGUAGUUUAUUUUUAUCGUUUAGUCGUCGAGGUUACCUAUACUUGUAACCUUAUAAGCCUAUUGGACAGUCAAUUUUUAAUAUAAGAAUUUGGUGCACAAAAAAAUCACCUGUUGAAAUGAAACAAAGUUUCCUUGUUCAAUAAAACAAUUAAAUUAAAAACAAAGAUCAUAUAUAUAAAUAUCCAACAAAAGAAAAUGAAUGGUUUCGAGUAUAUUAUUAUCCCUAUACUAUUCCAAGCAAGGCAAUGCUGUAAGGAAAAGCAACGAUUCCGGCAAAAGCAGCCUUUGCCACAAACAUGUUGGCCCUCUCAGUGCUGUGGACAUUGUCCCAGUACACGUACCGGUCUCGAAACGCACAAACCGGUUUAUCCGCCGCACAUAGUUCUUCCCCUGAUUCUACCGUACAACAACUCUUUUGUGUUACAGCAAACCCUACAAGAAUGUAAAAAUACGCAUAAUUAUUUUUACUUUUUUUGUUAAAAGUAUACGCAUGAUCAAAUUAUAGGAUCACAAUCCAAUAUUAUAAGUUUUAUCGUGAUUUUACUGCAAUUGUACUACUAUGGAAAAUAAAUGAUCUAACUGAUCAAAUCUCUUAGAGUUGUGACAAAAUGAAGAUUUAAAUUUAUAUUUCAGAAGAAAAUGAAAACGAAGGAAAAUAUUUGAUUUUAAGAUAUCAAGUAUUCCAGGAACACGAUUAUGAAAAGUUAAUGAAGUUUUUUAUUUAUCUAGGAAUCAUCUUCAAAAAGCUUAAUAGCUGAUCAUACAACUGGAUUAGUAAAGCCAUUAGGAAGGAGUUGAUCAUAAACCUUUCCAAAAAAUUUCCUUGUGUAUUUUGGGAAACUUAACUCUGGUAUUCCUUAGAACACCUUAAUGAAAACAGUGUAUUUUAAUUAGUAUUAUACUAUAUGUUUUUAAUCCGGUAAAAUGAUUUCAUCUUGGGUCAAAACUUUCAGUUCAAUAUAUUUAGUAUUACUUACCUAAGGCAGCAUACGCAAAAGGAGUUUGCCCGGUGUACAUAUCGACAAAAGUGAACUUAGCAUCGGCGAAGUUAGUGUUGAACUCUCUGACCAGAGCUUUAAGGUUCAUGUUGAAAGGUUCAACUGCUUUGUUCACUUCAGCGGCACAGCCCAUACCACCAGCAUGGGAGGCGAUCAUCCGCGGGGUGCACCCUAUCCUACUGACCCCAAACAAAGCAACCUUCCUUGCUCCUUGGACAUACAACAACUUAUACAAAAACAAAUGUCUCUAAUUAAUCGGUUUAUAGAUAAUUAACUAGGAGUAAAAUUUGUAGAGAUAUAUCCAAUACUCUGCAUCAUGUUUUAUAUGGAAAUUAAUCAACUAUUUAUAAUGUCAAAAGUUAUUUCAAUGAAAUAUGAAGGUUUAUAAUUCCUUUAUUAAUUUUCUUUUCAAAACCUUGGGUAAUAUUACCUUCAGUAAAGAGCGAUAAUGUCGAAUGAGGGAAUCAGCAAAUUGAUCGUAAGUGUACUUGCGUUGUGUAUUGUACUUAUCACCUUGCAUGAAGUAGUUGUUAAGAUAAUCAUUGCUUCCUAUAUUAAUAGUGUAUAGACAUUGCUUCAGCUUCUCCGGGGGCACGUUUGCAGUCAUAAUCGCCGUCCGGUGGUUCUUGAUUUGCGUUUUAAAACUGAUUCUAUCACCCUAUCGUAAGAAAUAUCAUAAUGCGUAAGUAAUUAAUUUAAGUGUUUAAACACAAAAAAUACAAAUAAGCGAGUCAUAUUUAGGAUCCCUGCCAGAAAAAAGAGAAAAGAGAAAGCAAAUCAACAAAACCAAAUGAUUAUUUGCUUUAAAAAAAAAAUUAUUUAUAGUCACCUAAAACAUUUACAAAAUUAUUUGUGUAUAUUCAUUGGACAGGGAAUCACAACAUUUUAAAUUGUCUUUUUCUAAGUUAGGUUUGAAACCUCAAACUUUCAGAUACAAAAUCUCAAUUUACUAAGACUUAUUCUUAGGUCCACCCCCUAGGGUGAACCUCUAGGUUCACCAACCAAUAAGAUUGUCUUAUUUUAUAUUCGAUAUCUUUUAAAAAAAGAAACAAAAUAUUGUCAAAUUAUAUUAUGUUUUUAAAAUUAAAAGGUAAAAAAAAAAAUUACAAAAAAAAUAUUUUACGUCGUCAGCAUAACAUUAAACCCUAAACCCUAAAUUCUAAUCCCUAAACCCUUAAUCCUAAACCCUAAACCCUUGGAUAAACCCUAAACUGUAGGAUAAAUCUUAAACUCUAGGAUAAAUCCUUAACUCUAAAUCAAAAUCACUAUACACUAAAACAUUCAAGCGUUUUGGGUUUAGGGUUUUAAUCGUUUUUUAUUUAGAGUUUAGGAUUUAUCCAAGAGUUUAGGGUUUAUCCAAGGGUUUAGGGUUUACCCAAGGGUUUAGGGUUUAUGAUUUAAGGUUUAGGGAUUAGGAUUUAGGGUUUAGUGUUUUGUUGACAACAUUAAAAAUAUUUUUUUUUUUAAUUUUUUUUUUCUGUAACUAUUAUCUUUUUUUACUUUUUUAUUUUAAAAACAUAAUAUAAUUUGAGAAUAUUUUGUUUCCUUUUUUUAAAAGAUAUCGAAUUUGAAAUAAUGAAAUCUUAUUGGUUGGUGAACCUAGAGGUUCACCCUAGGGGGUGAACCCAAGAAUGACUCAUUUACUAAUUAGUUUCGUAUCAGCCAGACAUUAGAGCCACCAAAUGAGAACAUAUGAUCACUGCGCGUCUUUUGAAUCAGUAUUACUAAAUUUAGUAGUACGUUUAGGAAAGUUACUUAACCAUAUAUGUAGAUAUAGUAGUAUUGGUAAAAAUUAAAUACCCGAGGAAAAAUAAAGAUAUCUUUAUUUUGAUCUCUUUUGCUUCUAAAUUAUGUUCUUACCAGAUGGUAGCUAGUAUCUUCGAGAAUUCCCGCGCCGCCAGAAGCGUAAUUUAAACCGGUGUGAGCUUGUUCCGGCGAUGCUCCGGUGAAAGGUGGAAUGUAAUCACUGAAUCUCAUUAGUUCAGCUAAACACAACAUAAUUCAAACUCAUAUUAGACAAGAAACCAUAUACAAUACUUAUGAAUGAUAAACACAAUAACCUUUAAAAAAAGUAACAGAUUCACAAGAAACCAUUCACAAAAUUUGUUUUUUCCUUUUGGGAAAUUGAUUCUUAAAUACAUUAGGGCAUCAUUAGGCCAUGCUCAUCGUCAGUAAUUAGAUAAGAUAUGUAAACAAUAAAACAAUAUAAACUCAAAAAGUAAAAGUAUGAGAGGUAAGACAUUUUGAGACCCCCUCUGUCAUUUGAGAGGUCACAAGAAUAUUUUAAACUAUCUUUAAUGUAUUUUGCUAUUUUUUCUCUAAAAUAAAAAAAAAAACUUUAUAAUAAAGAUGAAAGAGUAGACGUCAAAAAAAAAAUAGAAAAAUGAGUAAUUUUUUUUAUUUUUAAGAAAUAAAGAUGAUUUAGAAUAAUUUUAUCCCUAAAUAUUAUUAUAAAGAUAAAUAUAACAGUGGGUGGAGAUGAUCUUAAGAAACUAUAGGGACACUUGUCAUCUUUUUAAAUCAUUAUUUUUGUCUAAAAUUAAAACUAAACAUAUUCAAAAGUAAUGAUAUUUAUUCAGAUCCUCAAGUAAGUAUCUCCAAUAUUGGAGUUGCUAUUAAUCAAUGAUAUUUAUCGCCAGAGACUCUGCAGAGUUUCAAAACAAAACAAAAAUUGAUGUUUUUAGAUUUUUAAACAAUGAAUGUCUAAAAACUAAGCAAAUGUUUUUUUUUCCAGAAGUGUUAUAUAUAGUCUCUCACGAAGAGAUCGUUUUGUGUGAUAUAGUCUCUCAACGGAGAGAUUUUCUUACCUUUCUCAUCCUUUUACUUCUCUUUUAUUUAUUUAUAUAUUUUGAGAAACUUUAAACCACCUAUGUGGGUGUGUGAUAAGCAAAACUUUAUUUAUCUACUUACAUAGUCUCUUAAUUUGCAUCUAUGACUGUUCUGCAUAACACUGUCUAGUUCUAAUGUUUGCAUUUCUUUUUAUGUUCCAUUGAAAAUAUCAGCUAAAAGAGAAAUGCCUACAUUCUAAACUUCCAGUUAGGCAAAGAAUACGUUAUGAUACGUUUGUCUUUUAUAGUUAAUAGUAUCUAUUAGUAAUUUCAUCGAAAACAUUUGGGCAAAGAAAUAAAACAAGCCAGGGACUAACCGAUAAAGUCGGGAAUAUUACGGCCAUUGCUGAACCGGCCCGUGGGACCUCUAGCUAAAUCCAUACCAUAAGGUGAAUGGUUAACUUUAGCGGAGGUGUUCAAGUCAUUGUUGUUACCGUUGUCGAAAACUGAGUCUCCGAAAACGAAAUAGCAAGGCACGCGCUGUCCACGAGCCCCUUCGGCCAUUGCAAACACCAUUGCCGCUAAACCCCACAGCAAUACCUUGAACGUUCCCUCCGCCAUUUCUGAAAACCAAUUACUAGAAAUCUGAAAUGUGGCAACAUUGAAGAAAAGAGAAAAGUCUAUAUAUAUAACCCAUACAUAGGAAGAGACAGACAGAAAUAAAAUUCUAUUUCUAGUCUAUUCAUUAGAAGAGAUAGUCAGUUAAUUACGGAUGUUAAUUAAUUUAUUUUUAAAAGUAUCUUUAAUAGUCAACUUGCACGUGAGUUGUAAUGAGAAAAAUACAAGUCAUUUUGUCAAGAAAAACCCUCAUGGUGGUGUUAUAUGGUAACAUAUUAUUAGUCUUUUAUCAAAAAAAAAAAAAACCCUCAUGGUGUUUUUGAAGAGUAUUUAGUAAUUUUGUUUCAAUUCAAGUCUGAUACGUAUAGAGGAUGGAGGGGGUCAGCCGACCGCACCUAAUUUAUAAAAUAUAAGUUUUUCUUUCAUAAAAAAAUAUUAUGACACCACCAAAUUUUAUAGUUUGACCCCAUAAAAAUAAAAAAAUAUGAAAACAAAAGCUUAAUUUAGCUGGGUAAUUAAUAAUUAGAGACUUGAACUCAUAUUUUAUUUCAAUUUUAUGCUUAUUUAUAAUUUAAAUUCACUUCAAAUACAAUAUAAAUAUUACAAAAUUGUAAAAUCUCAUAUAACUAUUAAUUUAUUACAUUUAAUUGUAUAAAUAGAACACAGUUUUUUGUAACGGAAAUAGAUCACAUUUUACAAUAAAAAUUAGUUUUUAAAGUCUCGACUCUCGACGCUUUGGCCGUUUGACAAUGUUAGUUAAUUGUCAUGAUAACUUCUACAACUUGCUGUCGUUUGUUUCUUUGGUUAAAGUUCACACACAUUCAUGGAUACCAUAAUCUAGGGAUUUGGUUACAAUUGUUUUUCCUAUAUGCAAAAAAAAACAAAACAAAACGAUAACAGAUAUAAGACUGUUAGAAACAACUACAAACCCUUGAUAAUAAGACGUGAAGACAAGAUAGUCAUCUCAGCUGAAGAAUGAAAAUUAUAAGUUGGAGUUGUUGCUUAAUUUUUUGUUGUAAUAGAGAGUUGAUUGCUGGAACAGUUUUCAAAGUCAAAUGAGUUUUAUAAAAAUUGAAUGACUUAGAAAAAUGGGUUAUCAAAUUAAUUUAUGAGAAAAUUUUAAAUGAUGUAUCGGCUAAGUGAAAAUGUAAACCUCCAACAAAGUUCAAUAGAUUUAGGCAACUAUAGAGAAUCAAUGAGAAAUUAUUAUAUAAAACUACACCACGUGGUUGUCCAAAAAAGGAAAAGGAAA